rnacentral:lncRNA from 1 species
UGAUAUCUGGUGUUAUGGCUUGUAAUUCUUUUCUCUUUUUUUUUCAGGAAAUGUUGUACUCUUCAAAUUCUCGGAUUGGAACUACUGCAGUUCAUAGUAGCAUGCAGUCUGGUGGCGCAGCAACUGGCAAACAACGUAUUAGAUGGACACAUGAACUACAUGAACAGUUUGUAGAAGCUGUUAAUCAUCUUGGAGGGGCAAUGAGUGAGUAAUGGGCAGUUCCAUACCUAAGCAGGAUACCUUGAUGCUAUAGAGUUCCCUCUCUGUUUGAUAUUUCAAGAGUAGAGAUAGAUGAUUCUAUUGAAAUUUUGGUUUUUAAUUGCAGAAGCAACUCCAAAAGGAAUAUUAGCACUUAUGAAAUCCCAAGGGUUGACAAUUUUUCACAUCAAGAGCCACCUACAGGUAAUUUUGGAUUUUAGAAAAGUUUUUUACCACUCCUUUCUUUUUUCUGUUGAUUUUUCUGAUUAGUCUGUCUCUCAUGUCUGCAGAAAUAUCGGACUGCUAAGUGCAUGCCAAAUUUCCUUGGAGGUAUAUCAAAACUUUUCUCAUGUUAGCUGAGUUCUUUGUGGUAUUUCUGGUUGAACUUGAUGAAUAAUGAUAAGUGACAAAGUUGAUACGGAAGAAAAUUUGCUGUGAAAUUCACUCAUGGCCUUGCUCAUGUUUUUUCACGGAGAGCAGAAAGAUAUCUCCGAUGGAUGUCAGCAUGGAAUAUCGGUUUUGUUGGGACUUUAGAAUAUGAAGUUGUCUUCCUUAAAUUUUAUCACAAAUGACUAUAAUCUUCACAUACUAAUUAAUUCGGCAUCAACAACCAGAGCACCUAACCUAGUGUGUUGAUGUCCUAUAUGGCAACAAUCAGCCACUACCUUGAGAAGCUGUAACAGCCUGUAACAAUCGAAGUUUAAACAGUCCUCUUUCCACUCUGUUCUACAAUGAUAUAUUAUAGAUUUGCGGAGUUUAAAAUUCCAAAGCAGCAUUGCAGAUAUGAACCAUUCUUGUUGUCUGAUUUAUUUAUUUAUUUAUUUUACUUUUUUAAUGCGAAGGGACAGAUUGUAAGCUUUCUUACCCAAAACUUGAGGACUAUUGGAGUAGCUGCAUAUGAGAAACUAACCGUGGGCUCUUUUGAUAUGAUAGGGAAGAAUGGGAAGAGAAUCAAUAAUGAUAUGUUGCCAUUAUCAAAUUUUAGGGGGUAAUGUUUUUGGGUCUUUUCUCUUAUUCCAGUACCAGCAUAUGUUGCUAUUUGGGUUGUGUGGACUUCUGGAUUUAAUAUGUUUUUUCAUUACAGGUAUGCAGGACUUCAGAUUUCUGAAACACUUCGUCUGCAAAUGGAUGUUCAAAAAAGCUUACAUGACCAUUUGGAGGUAUGUGCAGCCAGUUUUUAAAAUGGAUGGGUUAAAUCAUUGCAUUCUUGAGCAAGCCUGCUUCAAAUUCUCGUCAGGAAUCUAGCGGUGACACUGAAUACAUUUCAGAAAUUUUUGCAUUACCUAGUGACAAAUUGCUGCAAAUUUCAUUUCCAGCCACUGAAUACCAUGUUUUCUUCAUGAUCUAUUUAUAUUGAUGCCAGCUUCUGUUUACUGCCACAGUUCCAGAAGAAACUGCAGAUGAGAAUUGAAGAGCAUGCAAAUUACCUGGAAAGGAUGUUUGAUCAGCAAAAAAGAAGUUGCAGCUUCCUUGAGAAUCACAACUCAGCUAAUGCUGUCGACCAGUCUAUCAUAGGGUGUUCAUCCAAUGGCGAAUAUGAAAAUAGCAAAGAGGCCAUUCUUGCUAAACGGGAGCCCUAAGCAUCUGCAUCUAAAUUUGUUCUGAAACAACGAGGGAAAUCAAGUUCUAUGAGAAGGUGAUCAACAUGUAUACUCUGCGAUUGAACAGAAACAGAGAGGCAAAGGCAUAUGAAAAAGAACUUCGAGAAUCUUGAUGGAGAAAUCAUGUUUGUCACUGGUAUCAGGACAAAUAAUAAUAGAUAUUCAUUCUCUCAAAAUCAAAAACGACUAAUAGAUUAGGGAUCUAGAUCUUGCCAUAUACCACAGUGUUGUAAAUCCUAUUUGUGUAUCUGGAAACUUGAAUGAUAAGCCUGUAGAUUUUCAGGAUCUUUAAAUAUGGAGCUUGUAUCUUGCAAUAUUGUGUGAAACAGCUUAUCUCACAUCUGAUCUAUUGCCUACAUGAAAUGCUAACUAAAUCCGUAAUGAAGUUGAGAAAAUAUAAAAUUAAUUAUACAUUUUCAUCUUACCUCUACUUUGUGUACUCUCUCUCUCAUGUUUAGGAGAGGCUAAUCACUGCCUGCUGCCUCAUAUCCACCUCACCCCUCGGGGGCAAAGCCAACUGGAAUUGAACCCUCAUCCCCUUGAUGGUAAGAGGUGAUAUCAUCCAAGCUUAAUUUGUAAUUAUUUUCUAAUAAAUGGUGGGAUAACCUCUUUUCCUAAUUAAAAAGGUCAUUUUCAGCAAAGUCAUAAGAAAUCUCCCCUCAGAGCAACGGAUUGCUGAUUAUUUUGUUUAUAAGGAGCGUUCGAUUUGUGCUGUCCUACUCUUAAAUGGAGAUCAGAAGAAACAAAUACAUAUGACGAUCUUACAUAUAAACAAUAUGUUUGCUCGAUAAGAUUAUAACAUCUUGAAACAACUUUUAUGGCUUCAACUUCAUCCAGUCGAUGACACUCUUCCCAUCAAGUUUGCUAGUAAAGGUGUGUUUCACGAAAUCUUCAAAGCUCAAGGUCUUGUAAUAUUCCUUGCUCCCUUUGACAAGCUCUGGAAGUGGGCCAACCAGUGUGGUCAAAUUGGGACUGUGGAAUGCAGCAAUCGAAAGGCGUUCCUUCUCCUUGUUUAUGAUGGCCCUAUGCUCAAUGCUCUUGUAUUUCCCAUUGCUUAAGAUCUGUCGACGAAUCAAACUAGAAUCAGUCGAUAUAUAUACAUUUUAUGACAACUAGAGGGGGUUUUUGGCCCUCAUUGAGAUGAAAGGUUUUUAAAUAACUGAUAACAAGUUCAAGCAACUUUACCAACGAAACCAGUUGGCAACCCAUUAAAAGAGUUCAUCACCUUCAAUUUUCAAAAGAACUAUACUGGUUCAAAGAAAACUUUAAUCUCCGUCCAUCAUUAUAGCAUGAUUAAACUUCUUUUUAAACUUUUCAAAGGAGAAAUUAGAUAGGGAGGAAAAGCACCCUUAUUUAUUUGGGUACAUGAUUAAACCAGUCGACCAUCAAUUUGGUUUCUAUUGUUUGGUCCAAGGACUCUAUGCUUAAUGAUUAUAUGACUUGUAUCCGACCCUUGAUUACAGAACUGCAUAUGGGUUUGCUAAUCUGUACCAGUAUUGCUAGCCCAUCCUGACAAAAUUUUCUGCACCUUAGUACAUAUUCAGUAUGAGACUCCUAGAUGAUGAAACUAUGUAUGACUUGAGGGAUAUCUAUGAUCUAUUUAACAUUUAAACAAAUAAAGAGAUGUUUUCUUCUCAAUAUUGUCACUCUUUCUCUAUAUACUUGCCUCAAUGACAUCGCCGAUGUUAACGACAAAAGCACCAGGAAGUGCUUUGAUUGGGAGCCAUCCACCAUUUCUCUUGAUCUGCAAUCCUUGCACUUGGUUGACUUGGAGGAGCAACGUCAAGCCAACAGCAUCGGAGUGUGGGGAGAGACCCAGUACUUUGUCAGCUUGGGGGCAUGGUGGGUAGUAAUUGAUCCUCAUUGAUUGUGACUCCUUAAAUAUGGUGACAAAUUUUUCAGGAUCAAGUCCUAAGUUCUUAGCCAUUAAUCCCAAGAGACAAUGGGCGACUCUCUUUAGCUCCAAUGAGUAUCUGUCCAUUGUAUCCCUGAAAACAUUCCCAAUAUAAUGAGCAGAAGGAUCCUUUUCUUCACUGAAGAAAUCUUUAAUUCACAGCUUGCAAUCAGAACAGUAACCGUCAGUCAUUCUUUUUUUAGGAGAUAACUGAGACAAACACCAUUGAUCAUUAUGCAAGUUUUCUAAAUUGUGAUAACUUAUGGUCGCGUUGCAGAAUUAGUGUUGCAAUCAUUUAGUGUAUCUUUGGAAGUAUGUGUUCUUCAAUGAAUAUUGCUUUACCUGAAUGUAGGAGGUUGAGCAGGCCAGAGUCUCAAGUUCCUAAAAUGUGGUGGUUGAGUAAAAAGGAAGAGCAUAUCACCCCAGUCAAGCUUUUGCUCAUCUGACACAACAAAUGCUUGACCAUAGCCUUCGAGGUCUCCUGGCAGCUGCGCAAUUGCUUCCUUUUCUCCUGGAGGAAGCUGAAAGAACUCCUCAACAUCUGCCCUCAUUUUCUCGAUCACUUUAUCAGGUAUUCCAUGAUUCACCAGCUGCAAAAUUACCAUGAUAUUGUAUAAUAACGUGGAGAUGGCAACACCAAGUUCAACACAGACAUAAAACACAAAUGGAUUUAGGGAAAAGAAUUACUAGUUUAGCAGGUGCUAUGCGUCGCAAAGAUGAUGAGACAGGUUAUCACUUUAUCCACCGCAAGAUCACUUGGGAAAUAAGCGCAUUACUUUGGAUUGAGGGCGAUGCAUUGAGUGUUUGCAAAGAGACAGAUAGAAAAUCCAGAGAGUGAAAGAGAAUUGUUUUCUUAAGCUGCCAUGUUUAUCUUGCUUCAUAAAGUGGUGGUUAGGGGAAUUUCAAAGUAAGAAGCCUCUUCGAAAAUGCACUUGUUCAACCUAUUUUCUUCGAUCAAUCCCACCUUUUAGGAACAAAAAUCCUGUGCCAGCAUUUGCUGAAUAUGGCUAUGCUCAAUCUUGUUCUUCAAAAUAAAAUGCAAGUUUCAGGCCCAACCAUAACUAGAUCGGUUUUGACUAAAGAUUGGAGCUUGGACCAUCUUGAUGACAUUCAAGUUCUAAAUUUCACAUGGUGUACAAUCUGACAAGACAAUUAUGAGGUUUUCAGACUCGAGUUAAUAUACUCCAUAUCUAAUCUCCAAAUAGUGUAUGGUAUGAGGGUGUGAAACAUCCAAGCUGAUAAAGUCUCUCGUGUUAAUACAAGAGAUCAGAAUUCGAUCUUGUCCUUGUUUUGGUUUAUGGUCAGGCUUUUAGCUCUCCGAUUUCUCGAAAAAAAAAAUCACUAAACUGCUAUUUGAGAAGAAACUGGGUGAGAUAUAUAGAAAUUCAUUCAUUGGAGUAUGAGAUCAUUUAUUGUGGUUAAGACAAGAGAUGGCCAUCGAGCUCCCUCUCACGACUCUUCCUCUACAACUCAAGUUGCAGGGUGGGAAUUCUUACAACCCUUGGUAUGCAGCAGUUUUUGAUGGAUCCAAAGAAACUUUUGUUAUUUUUUUUUUAAGUCCCACUUAAAGUCAACUAUGCCUGUGUACCCGGAUACUAAUUGAAAUCUACCACCCGCUACUUCUAGGAAUUUUCUAUAACUAGUCUUUUAGAGAAUUCGCACUCGUCUCACAACACCCAGAAAAAGGAGAAAAGAAAAGCAAAUAUGUUAAAGAACUUAAACUGGAAAAAAAAUUCAUAUAAGCAGUAAGCAAUCAUAAAUUUCAAUAGAAUUCAUAUUAGCAAACAUGAUUAGUUAGUUAUCUAACCUGGAAGAAACCCCACUCCUCACAUGCAAAUUUGAGCCUGGAGGUCUCUUCUUGCUCGAACAGGGGAUCACGGAGCCUGCUCAUAUCAAUGAUGGGAAUGUCUUCAGAGUCACCGUCAUCGAGGGCGUCACCAUUUAUCUCCGGUCUAAGGUACCUAUGGAGGAUCUCAGCCUCCAAGUUCUUGGCACUGCCGGCAAGAGCUUGAACGUUCGCCACUCGGAUGGAGCCUCCCAGAUCCUUUGGCCUCCCACCAUCGUUUCCCGGCUCCAUUUCUCCUCCUCCGCUAAAACUGUCCUCCUGGAAGAUGCCAAGCGGGUGUGAGUAGAGGAGCGGAUCACUCGACGGAGUCAAAAGGCAAGCACGCACGUACGUACGGCCCACCUACCAUGAGUAAAUCCAUCCGUCCGGCCCCAUCAUGGGACGGCCAGGAUCACUCGCUGCCGGCGGGCGCCGGCAGAGACCAACCACCGCGUGUUUUUUUUUGUUUUUUUGUUUUUGCAUGGAUACCUUCGAUAUCGAAUUUUACAAAAAUAUUUUUUCAAAAUUAAUAUUUAUAUAUAUAUCCUCAUAAAAUACUUACUUUACUAUUCUAUACUUUUUUUUUAUUAUUUAUAUAUAUAUACCUACGCCAUCUAACAUCGUUAAAUAAUUAACGAUUUCAAAUUAAAAUAACUAAAAUAUCCUUAAUGGAUAGAUAUGUAAGAAGAUCGCGAUGAAGAACAAAAAAAUAAUUUCAAAAUUUUAUUUUAUUUUUAAUUAAAAUAAAUAUAGUUUUUAUUAAUGGUGUCAGAAGAACCGUUAUAUUAGGGCAUUUAUACAAAAAUAAUGUUUUAUGAGGAUAUAGAAAUAAAUAUAAAUUUGAAGAAAGUAUUCACGCAAAUUUGAAUUUAUAGAAGGAUAUUCUUGCAAAAAACUUUUUUUUUUUUUGGAAAGGUAAAGGAUCCCAGAGGCACAGCAACAAACCAACUAUGGUUGCUUUAGGUAGUACUCGGUACAAGUGACAUCUUACUUUUGUUUCUCCUCUUCCCUAUAAUUUUUCUCUAAUCUUCUAUACCUCCUUUACACUCAACACACACACACACACACACAUACUUUAGCCUUCAUCUAAAAAUAAAAAUAAAAAUAAUAUAUAUAUAUUGAAAAUAAAAAUUAAUUUUAAUUAAGAAAAUUAAAAAGGAGCAAAUAUUUGUUUAGUAAAAAAAUUGUCCAAUUAAUACAAGUCAACAAAUAUCAAGAAAAUGCUUGUAGACAAAAAUCCUAAAGAUAGUAUCCUGAGAGUAUUGUUGUAUGCCUUAUUCACAUGUGAUUUUUUUUCAUGUUCUGCUUGUAACCUCAAAAAUAUAAACUAUUUUUAAGAGAACCAAUCUAACCAAAAUUUUUUCUUUGAAAAUAUGUAAAGUGUAUCUAAAACAAUUCUAUUUUUUUGACAUACUUUAAAUAAGCAUAUUAAGUGUAAGCAUAUCUUACAUCAUUUAUAUUAUAUAUUCUUUGCAAAAAAAAAAAGUCAUACGCCCCAUAUUGCAUGAGUUAUAAGCUACUUAUGUGCAAAUUAUAAAGAUUCAGCUAAUAUGGAGUUAUUUUUUUUAAUGUGCUUGGCCAUUAUAUAAAUUCAUUACUCAAUAUGCAACAUAUAUUAAUGAUGCUAGUAUCAAUAUUCUUAGUCAUCAUUAAAGUUUAUUAAUAUGCAACAAAAAUUUAGUUAUUAAAAUCUUCUAUUUAUUAUAAUUUAUUAUACUAUCAUAUUUCAAAAAUAGUUGAAAAAACAAAAGGAGGAAAACUAGCAUAGCAUGAGACUAACAUGGGAUUUCUACAUAAAGAUUUAGCUUGUGCAAAAAUAGAAGUUACUGAUUGAAGUUUUUGCUUGGCUGUAAAUUAAAUUUAUUACUUAAUAUAUAGCAAAAAAUUUUUCUUUAAAUAGCUCCUAACAAGGACAACAACCAACAUGAAAAUGUGUGACCGAAAAAGUGAGAGAGCAACUACUGGAUCAUGGCAAGAGAUUAAAAAAAAAAAAGUUUAUAUAACAAAGACAAGCAGGAGAAUACCAAAUAAGACUGACUAGAAGUCAACUUGGAAACUCAUGAUGGCUGAAUCCAAUCAUGGGCCUGGAAGCUGUUGAGAUGAAAAGAAAAUCUGUGCUGCCCUUGAGAGCCAUCAGCCUGUCCAAGGGAAGCAAAGCCAUUGUACUUAGUGGGUUUGUUUUUUGUACUUCCUGUUUUAUUGCACUCAGGACCGAGUUUAUCCUCAUAUUAGGCUGAGUCUAAACUUGGAACCCCAAACCUGUGUUGCCAGUCGGAGCUACAUCCAAACUUCUAACACUUCCAGCCUCACUUUUCAAUAUUCUCCUUUAAAGGACCGGGCAAAAAUUUCUGAAUGAUCAACUUGUCACCAACUGGCGGCCAAAAUGUUUGAAGGUUUGAUGCAAAGAGAAAAUUUUCACUGUCCAGGUUGAGCGCCGGUCUGGUCACCUAACUGGGACAGACAGGAGAGUCUAGCCGGGAGGCCCCAUCUACCUGAAUUUUUUUGAUGGUCAUGAUCCUGUAAAGCAAAAUCGCUACACAUUUUUUCAGGCCGGCAACAAGAAAUGGCUGCGAUUUCCUCUUUCGCCUCUCCAAUCAGGCUAUUCGAUAGGUUCCAAACAAAUUAUAAUACCAAUUUGCCCAAAAUUAAACUCUUCUUCUGUAGUUGCACAAGCUAAGGAGUUUCACUAGAUCCAUAAAGUUAAUCAAUACUAAUAAGAAAACAAAAAGUGAAAAUUCUGACCAUCAAUUCUGUUUAACAUGUGCAACUGUAAUCUGUUUUUCUAAAACAUGUGUGAGUUACAACAAAUCGCUCAUUGUUAUAUUCUGCAAUAUAUAAUUUACUGCAUAUUUGCUGCAGAAUGCUGAAAGUUGAAAGGAUCAAGGGUCACAUAAUAGUUUACAAGUUAAAAACAUAGUACUGAUAUCUGCAUUGAUAUGGGAUAGCUGACAAUUUGUCAAGCCUUUGCUAUCCAGCUUGAGGUUCAAAAUGGGAUCGAGUAGUGCCAAUGCGCAAUGGGCAUUGCUAUUACAAGAUCUAUACCAUCUUUUGAAGCAGCUGAAACAAAAUAAUACAUCGAAGAAUUUACAGUUCUGUUGAAUGGCUAUUUUCCUGAAGUAGAAAAAAAAAGAGAAAAGACACCAAUGAGAGUGCACGGGACAAGAUAACUCUGAAAUGUGCCACAUACACAAAGAGACUGCUCCUGAAGAUAUUUGCUUUUUUCACAACAUCAUGAUGAGUUUCCAUUGAUCUUCAUAAAGUGAAAACCAAAUAUAUCUCUGUAUUCCCCUGUUCCAAGGCAUCGAUUACAAUACUCAAGUCCACUUCCACCACAAACCUUGCACCUGCCAACAGUUCAGAACAUUUGCAUAACAAAAAGAAUAAUUCCAGCGCAGGAAUCAAUGCAGUAACAUGUGAGAACUGGGUUAGGAAGAAAGGGGAGGAAGAGAUGGAGGAAGAGGAAGAGGAAGGGAGAGAGGAAGAGAAGAGGGUUUGGAGGUGGAGGAAGAGGUGUGGCUGCAAGGGGUGAACAUAGUGGUGGUCCUAGAAAAGCAUGGUUGAAACCAAGAGGGGGGCUGAUUAGAUAUUCCACAGGAUUCCGGAGCUCCUGAUGGUAUCCUAGCCAAGGUAGAAGAGGUUAUAACUCCAUUAAUGCUGUCAACAACUCUAACUGUCAGCUCGUGCCUCAAUGCAUUGACUUGAACACAUCCCUCCAAUAUGGUGGUAGUGGAAGAAUGCAUGAAUGCUAUAACCUGCUUUAUCUGUAGUGGUAUUGGAUCUACAACAGCCAGGUGUAGGAGAGCUGCUGCAGAAAAAAGGAAAAUGGAGCCUGAAAGAGGAUAGAGUGGUCCUUCAAGUGUAAAUGCAAGCCAAUAACAAGUACAGGUCAUGGCACAGACAAGUAGUAGAAAGGGUAGAUCUAGAUACAAAUAGCGGAUGAUGCUGAGAUCUGCCCUUGUUAAAGCCUCAAGGUAUUACCUACACAACCAGAUCAUUAAAAUGUACAGUCUGAGCCUCUCCAUUGGUACUUUUCCUAGUCAGCAAGGCAUUUUUUAGCUUCAAAAGAAAGAUUAUAUUAAUUCUGAUGUCUUUUCUUUUAUUAUCAAGCCUUGGUCCAUAAGAGAUAAUAGGCCUUACCAUGGUCUUGUUGAUCGCGUGUCUUUGAGACUUUUUGGCUUCCCUGGUCCUUAAUGGAAUGCUAAUGAUGCUAGGGUUCUUAUAAGUUGGUCUGGUAUCUUACAUGCUGUUGACCUUAGUAGUGUUUGUGGCUUAGACCUUUCCUCUGUCAAUCUUAUUGUUUUCUGUAAGAACCCAGCCUCCAUCCCUCCAUUCGUAGAUGUUUCAGUGGAUGACUUUCAGUAUGAAGUUAGAGUAGAGAUCAGGGAUGUGGAAGAUGGUCGCCCCCCUCCACCUCCAUUGCUUCCCAGGGAUGGAAUCUGGGAUGUGUGGCCUGGUGGAAACUCAGCAAAUCCAGCACAAGGUUUCGGCGACUAGAAGGAUAGGGCCCAAGUAAUCAACCACCAGCAAGAAUCGAAAUUCUCUGAUAAGUCUAAUAAGCAGAGAGAUGAAAUUCCUAAUUCUGCUAGCAAUCAAAAUGGAGGUAAUGAGAAUUUGAAUAUCAUUUGAGCUUACUUCAGGUGUUAGCAUUAAGCUUCUGAUAAUCCUGAUGUCAUUAACCAGAUUAAAGUUAUAGAGAAUCAGGUUAUUCCUGAUUCUCAGGUUGGAGAGAAAAAUACCAGUAUAGGGAACCUGAAACCCCAUAAUCAAAUUCUAAUUCAAACACCCAACUUUCUGCUCCUGCUUCGCAUGUUGUGGGGCAUGAAGACCUUAUCCAGUUACCUUCUGCUGAUGAACCCAUCCCUAGUGCAUUAAUGGAUCUUCUGCUGUGUCUGCACCCUGAUGGUCCUCAAGAAAAAUCUACAGUUGUAGAUCAGGUCAUUAAUGAGCAGGUGGCCGAUUUCCUUCCAGGCGAAUACACUCCUGCUACUGUUAGACAUCAGACGGUGGACUUGCUGUUCUCGGAAGCUUAGAAAGUCUUGUCCCCUCCUCAAAGGCAGAGGAUUUUGGAAGUUUGCAGUAUAGAUUUAUUGACCAAGAGAAUGGAGAAUACCUUGUUGAGUAAUUCUGUUAUUGCGGUAACCCAGCAGGAGCUGUUGGCCUGGCAGGAGUCGAUCUGAUAUGGACUUUCAGCUGAGCAAAGGUGGUUUUGGACACUGUUUUACUAGGGACUGCAGUGGGCCAAGCUUCACCAAAGACACCACCAAAAUGAAGUGCCAGAAUUCAGGCACUAAACAAUACCGUGAAGACAACAACAAUAUUGAAAAAGAAGACUAGCAAGGCAAAAAAAAAAUCUGCAAAAAAGAUGGUAGAUGGUGAGAUGAUUCUCAGUUCCCAUGAACCAGAAGUGUUGAUCGAGUUAGGGAGAAAAUGUGGCUUGAUCUUUGUGAGGAGCAAGGAAAAGGAGGCUGAACCGCAACUGAAGAAGAUAGAGGCUGAAAAGGAAGCUAAGAUUGCUGUUCUAGAUUCUCAGGAUGGCAAGCCCUGUGGCUCGAGUUUGAAUGGACCUUGGGCUGGCAUCUGUGGGGUUGCUUUCAUUUUCUUGUGUUUUACGUUGUGUUACGUUUUAUGUUAAUGUAACGAGGACUUUUAUAUCAACAAUGUUAACUAGGCUAUGGGUGUAUGGGGCUUGGGGCUGCUGUUUUGUUAACCCCAUUUAUCAGGGGUAUUUUGAGUAGUUGCUAGUUGUCCUGGAAGACUGGAAAUGAUUGGGCUUCAGCCCCAUAGGACUGAUGUUCGCCUACGGUGUAAGAUGGUCUGUAUGGAUGGUUGUGAUCCCUCUUUCCCCUAAUUUUGCUAAUAUGCAAAAUGUUACGAGGCCUGUUUAUGGCCUCAAAACAAAAAGCUGUUAGGCAGCUAUUACUUGCAACUAAAUGUGUUAUCAUUUCGCUUCAGGAAUCCAAGCUGCAUAAUCCACAAGUGGCUGUUCUAAAGGCUAUAGGAGGUGGAGGUCUAUUUGAUGGGUGGUGGUAUUUGAAUGGAGAUGGCAGUGCCCAGUGGAAAUUUAGUUGGUUGGAACAGCAGGAAAUUUGAGUUAGUUGCUGGUGAUACAGGAGCCUUCUCAGUAUCAGGGACUCUGAAGGAAUGAGCCAGCCAAUUUGUAUUCUGUUUUUCACCUGUGUAUGGACCAAAUGAGAGAGCUCUGAGGACUGAAUCAUGGAAUGAACCGUGCAGAAGAAGAGCUAGUUUUACUGGGUCAUAGGUUGCAGGUGGUGAUUAUAAUGUAACAAGGUCUAUGGAGGAUUGAGUGGGCAUGAAACAAUGUCCUCUAGACUAAGAAUAACUAUCUAAGUUUAUAAGAUCCCUAGAGCUGAUUGACAUCAAACUCAAGGGAAGAAAAUUCACAUGGAGCAACCAACAUGAGGAUCCUUUCUUGGAAACGCUUGAUCACUUCCUUAUCUCCUCAGAGUGGAAAACAAUUAUCCCGUAUCCAUCCAAAAAGCUUUUACCAUGCACCUACUGGACUCGGCACAGAGGAGAUGAGAGCUAAACAAAAACCCUUCAGAUUGGAGAAUUGGUGGAUACAGGAAGAAGAUUUUGAUAACGUGAUCCAAGAAGUCUGGAGGACGAAGGAUAGUCUGGAGGACAUCAGUGCAGGCUGGGUAACUAAGCUGCAAGAAUAUAGAGCUUGACUAAAUGAAUGGGAAGAGGAAGGAAUUACUUGCUAAGAAAAAACUCCUCCUCAGCUCCGUUGGCGUUCUGGAUAAGAAAAAGGAAAACACAAGGCUCGCAGAGACUGAAAGAGAAAAAAGGAGAUGAAACAAAGCUGAACUCAACAGGAUUUACCUUGAGGAAGAGAUCUAUGGGAGACAGAGGACAUGAAUAAGGCGGCUAAAAUGUCACUCUAAUACAGAAUUUUUUCACAAAGUGGCAAGCGGGCGGAGAAGAAGAAAUCACUAGCUGUUUUGGUUGAUGGAGACACUGAGAUCACAGUAUAGAAUGAUAUUGCUCGGGUGGUGUUUGUGGAGUACUUUAAAAAUCUUUAUGAAGCAGCCCCUACUGGUCCUUUUAGUUUGGACUGGGGAAGACUCUAUGGUGACUCUGAUGUGGAUUUGAACGUACCCAUUGAGCCAUUCUCAGAAAAGGAGACAGAUGACAAUACUUAAGUGCUGACAAGGCACCAGGGCCGAAUUGGUUCCUAAUGCACUUUUUCUUGUGCUUUUGGGACCUAAUUAGGCAGGAUUUUAUCUCACUAUUUGAUGAAUUUUUGGCACAUAACCUAGAUCUGGAAUGAAUGAACUAUACCUUCUUAACCUUGGUGCCUAAGGAGGAGGAGGCAGCACAUCCUAAUGACUUUAAGCUGAUCACUUUAGUUCAAAGCAUCAUCAAGAUAAUCCCCAAAACUCUUGCUAAUAGAUUGCUGCCUUUGACAGAGAAAUUGGUCCAAAAUUCUCAGUCUGCAUUCACAAAAGGAGGGCUAAUUCUAGACUUCUUGGCUGCUCUGAGGUUUUGGCUUUUUGUAAGAAGCUGGAUGGCAUUCUCCUAAAAUUAGACUUUGAAAAAGCUUAUGACAAGUUGAACCAGGACCUCUGUUGGAGACACAGAGGCUUUCCCAGGACAUGAGCGGACUGGAUGAAAACCUUAUUUGAUCUGCCAAAAUUGUCCAUAUUUUGAAUGGAUCUCCAACGACCUAGAGUGGCUUGAGACAAGCGCCCCUCUCUCUCCCUUCUAUUUUAUUAUUGCUGCUAAUGUCCUUUCUAGAAUGAUCAAUCAGACCAGAAGAGAGGGACUUACAAAGAGCCUCGGUAAUGUGGGGAAUUGCCCAGGCAUAUCCAAUCUACCAGCUUGAAGUUCUUUAAUUGAUUUUGCAUAGUUUUGAAAGGGUGUUUGGCCUAAGGAUUAACUGCACCAAGAGUGCAGUUAUCCAUGUGUGAAUUGAGGACCAUGCUCAAUAUGCUGCAGCCCUUAGUUGCAAACUGGAAAAGCUUCCUGUUAAAUACCAAGGGCUACCACUGUGUAUAAAGAGACUGAGGAAGGUGGAGAGGAGAUCUCUUAUAGACGGUUGAGAAGAGACUGGAGAGUUGGAAAGGGAAGUUCUCCUAUCAAUUGCAGGUUGUAUUACUUCAGCAAAUGCAGUAUUAUCAAACCUCCCUAAAUAUUACAUGUCAAUCUUCAAGUUGCCAAAGUGGGUGCUAAAGAAAAUCGAACAAGAUCCGGUGAUCAUUUCUCUGGAAAGGGAUAGCAUCUGUUUCUAGGUUUUCAUGCCUUACUGCUUGCGAAAUUGUUUGCAAAUCAAAAGAAGAGGGAGGUUUUGGUGCAAAAAUUUAGAAGAUCCUAGUGUUGCUCUCAUGGGCAAGUGGUGAUGGCAUUACUUCUAUAAUGAUAAAUCCCCAUAGAAAAAUCUAAUCAUCGAUAUCCAUUACAGAAGGAGAAGGCUUGGUCCUAGAACCAAGAAAUUCCUCUUUUCCUUAUCCCCACUUUGGCGAGACAUUGAGAGCUUCUAGGCCCUUCAGAUGCUCUCUAGCAUUCAAACUUGUUAAUGGAAGAAGUUUCAGAUUCUGGGAUGAUACUUGGAUCGGCAAUUUACCUCUAGCUUCUCUCUUUCCCAAGCUUUAUGAGACAUUAGAGAAGAACCUAGCAGCGGCAUAUUGUUGUAGACAAAGAGCUGGGAGUCGGAGAGUGGUGAGGAAAGGACCACUGACUUAUGAUCAGUCUAUAAAUGGUCAGAGCUUGAAGAGAUUCCAAGAAUAACAUCGAUUGGAAGGGAGGAUGAUAGACCAAGUUGGAAACUAGAGCAGUCAAAGCUAUUCACAGUUAAGUCUCUCUACAGAUUCCUCAAUCAAGGUGGAGUGAAAUGCCCAUAUUACAAGACCCUGUGGAAGGUAGCAGUGCUAGAGAAGUAUAAAAUCUUCUCAUGGCUGGCCAUUAGAAACAGGCUUCACACAAAAGAGGUAAUGGCAAAGAAGGGCUGGAAGGUGCCAGAUGGUUCUCUCUUGUGUAAUCAUCAUGAAGAAACUGUGGACCAUCUUCUUCUGAAUUGUACUUUUGUGAUGAAAGUAUGGCAGAGACUCGAAGAAAAGUUGGGUAUAAAAGGUCAGUGAACAUCUUUGCUAUCCCUGUGGACUGAAUCGAGGAAUAGAAGAAUACCAAGAGAACUCAAAGAAGGAUGGGACAAGUUAGUGCUUGCUACUUGUUGGUGUUUCUGGCAGGAAAGAAAUAACCACAUUUUUUUCAAGAAGGAGACUUCCAAGAAGAUUGUUUAUCUUUGUAACCUUGUUAAGAAUUGGGUGCUGUGUUGCAAUGCUAAAAAGUAUGGCUGCAUGUAAGAGGGUUUCUCAUCAGCUUGGGGUGGGCUGAAUGUAACUUCGGCUCCUUCACCCGGAGCCACCAGUGUUUAUUCUUUCAUUCUUUAAUAAAGCAACGUGGGAUUCACCCUUCUUUUCCUCAAAAAAAAAGAGAGAAAAAAAGUGAGAACUGGGCAACUCACCAUUUUGGCCAUUCUCCUUUUGGAAGCAUAACUUGAUGCACACAAUUUGCCCUGCCUGCAAAUGCCCAGUCACAUGCAUAACAAGUGAAUAACUUAGAAAAGUAACUAGCAUAAAGCAAUGACAGUAUGAAUAAUUUUACCACACUAUGUGCAACCAAAUUUUGGGGGGUGUGGGGUGGGUGGGAGGAGAGGUAGAGAGAGAGACCUCUUCCUUGACAGUAAUAGCAAUCAAUUCUCCCACUUCCUUUGCAAACGACACAAGGUGGGUCUGGUUUUUUCCUUCUCUCUUUCCUGACAUUUGACUGCAAAGUAUAAUGUCAUAAGAACACCAGUAACCCUUAGCCACAACAAAUGGAAAAAACCAAAAAUAAAGAAUAAUACUUUUCCAGCAUGCAUAAAAAUUCCCAUUAAAUGAUAAAGUUUUUACCUUAUUUUUGCCAAUUUUACUAAUUUACCUUAUUUUGUAAGGAAUAAAUAAAGAGUCCUGACAUGUGGUCUCUUCUUAAUUAAUUUCAACACUUGAAUACAUGAAUAUUGAUGACAUGCUCGUAUGAUGAUUUUCCAAUCUACCUUGUUUAUGCCUCCAAAUUUCAGUAUUCCAUUUCAUCUUUUCUCUUUUUUAGAAGGAAAGAUAGUGGAAGGCCCAAUAUCUAAAAUAUUAAUCCAAAGACUAAUAUCCAUGAAAUUACAAUGUUACAAGAAACAACGCAUAUCAUACCAUAAACCAUUACCAUUCAUGGAAUAUUUGAGUCCUGAAAGGAGGAAAAACUUUAUGCUUAUUACCUGCUUGCAAACACUAGUUGAUAAUGAGAUAAAUUUGAAACCUGAUACUGGGGAGCCAAUGGAGCGCAAAACAGUGCAUCAGAUGAGCUAUCUAAUACCCAUAUCAGAGUAGGAUGAAACAAAUACAUAGCAAAUAUUGGUCACAGAACACCAACUCUGAGAGACCUACCUCCAAAGCAACAAUCAGAACUGGAAAUAACCAGGUUAAAGCAGAUACAAUGUCAAUCUUUGAUGAACAUAUGGAGAGACGAUAUACAGCCGGCACACUUUGAUUAACCAAUUUAAUCAUUUUUGCCCCUAGGAAACAUUUCAACCAUUUUAAUUGAUGCAUAGACAUGUUUUACACAAAUAAACAAACUUUAACCUUUAAUUAAUUUGUGCAUGCAACAUCACAGAUAAUCAUAGAAAUCUAUGUCCAUCGCUAUUUUGAUAUAUUCAUAGCAUCAUUUUGGGUGACUUACGAUGCAAUAAACCUUACAGAAAUAUAUUUACUUAUUAGCAACAUAUAAACUUAUAAUUCAUGAUACAAACUAUGAAGCGGGGUCAUAGGGGCAUGCUUGUGUUAGAAAAAAAGGUAAUUUACUGAUCCCCUUACAGAAAAUGACAGAAAUGAUGAAUUUUUACCAACCAUUUGGAGUCGACUGCACUGAUCUUUUUCGUAUUACAUGUCCUGUUAAACCUUCAAAUCCUCAAAAUGUCUUCAUGACUCUCAUUCAAGUCAUGUUGGUCAACUGUAACUCUUUUGUAGCAUCCUAAAACUUAACCCAUCUCUUGAUAAAUUGCAUCAUAUGUACACUUCAAAUGUCCAAACCAUUUUUAAAAGAUUAUGUUCAUUUUUAUUUAAUGCUACUUUCUAUUCUUUCUUAAACUACUCACCUUUUUUUUCAAGAGCUAGGACAAGUGGAGGCCCUGUCAAGUACCAGUGUGAAGGCUGGAUCAAACCCAUCUCCCUUGCAUCCAUAUAAGAGACAUUACUGACCCAGCCAAUUGGCACCCUCUAAAACUACUAACCUCCUUUUUUAGUUGGUACAAGGGCCUAAGUCCAUUAAGUUCUUAAGCAAAUAUAGCUAACAGCAUCAGCAUUAGCAAUUUGAGCAAUAGAGGAGAGAAACUCCAACAACCCAAUAGUAGCAUUCUGCCACCCGCGGCCAAUUUUGGACAGCAGAUCAGCAACUUGAUUCCCUUCUCUAUAGAUAAUGAGAAGUAGAGAAGAUGGAAAACUUUACAAAAGAGGAAAGAAUAGCAGGCAGCAAUGGGCGAUGGCAGUCCCCUUUUCCUUGAUUCCAGUUAGUGAUGGUGCAUGAGUCUCUUCAAGCAAAAUCGCAUUGGUGUUGAGGAGAUUAUGGGCCAGUCGAAUUUCCUCCCAUGCAGCCUCUGAAGUUCCCGAAUGGGUAAAAUAUUUUCUGGCACAGGUGAAACACCAGAAGCCAAGAUUCCACCUUCAUGUUUCCUGAGUACUCCAGCCUCACCAUCAGCUUCCAGUGACCCAUUGAAAUUGAUUUUCAAUUUUCUUGGUUGUGGAGGAGCCAAGAAACAGGGAUAAGGUAGAUGAUUGAUUGACCCCAUUGAAGGAAGCUCCCCAGCUACCUGGACCGUUGAGAGUUAAUUGUAUGUUUUAUAAUAAAUAUCUCUUAUGUUCCCUUUGAUUAUCCCAUCAAAUUAAGGCAUAUUUGUAACUGAUCAGAACAAUAAAUUGAUUUUGGAAGAUGAUUUUUAGGCUUUCUUGUGGUAGUAGAGUGAUGGGUUCACAUCACUGAUGUUCUCGAUUUGAAGAUUAAUCUUCUGAGGUGAGCCCUUCAAUAGAAACCAAAAUAAAAUAAAAUGGCCAAAGAUACAAGGAGCUGUUUUGGGUAUUACCAGUCUGUAUUACAACAGGAUGGAGUCAUGUCACCCGGCUCAGACUAGUGAGAUUACAGCUUGCAGUUUUGCACCAUUAUAUCAUUUCUUUAUCCAGCUAAGAUGACUCAUGUCUCACAAGACAGGGCAGGACAUGAUUUCACUUUAAACCCUGGUGCAUAACUAAGGUUCCCAAAAAAGACCAUCUAAAACUAAUCGAUUUUAAUCAUUAUAGAACAAGCCUAAAAUUGGACCCAGGGACCUUUGGCUCUUAGGAAAAAUUAUUUAAAAACUAUGCUUUUGUUGGGCAAGCUGUGUUUUUUCCCUUUUGAUGUGUGCGUAGGGGUUGGGGAGGGGGGUGGUGUUGCAGCAGCGAAUACAGUAGGAAUAUGUUUGGAAUUCUAUUGGAAACUAAAAAACUACGAUGUUUCAAUCUCAAUUGGAACCAUCUAAAAUUUAGUCAGAUUUCAGAAUUUUGGCCAAAUUAAAUUAUGGGACUAGAUUCAUUGUAUACAUAAGUUGUUUAUUCUAAGUAUCUGUGUUUCCUUCAUUUUUUCAAAUGUAAGCGAGUUUUCAUAUCCAUUUUAAAACUUCUUUCUUUUUAUUUUUCAAUAAUUUUCAAUUAAACUUGCUGAAACAUGAGCAAGAAACCAAUAGAACAGUGGAACUUUUGAAACCAUAAUCAUUAUGUCUUAGCUGAAACCAAAAUUUAAACUGACUUCAAAACUUGAUUAGGAACUGAAAGGUAGCAAUUGAGGAUGGUUUUUGAUAUUACACUUGCUUGGGUAUUGCUUUAUGGAGGUUAUCAUGGUAUUAUUGGGAAUUCAUUUAGCUCUAAAGAGCAUUAGAAUUUGAUACUUGUUGAUUUGGAUUAAAUUACAGGACUUCUAGACUGCCUUCAUUUGCACAGAAAACAUGCUUAAACCUCUCCUACAAAGAAAUUAGACAUUCUGUAUUAUUGUUGGAGCUUCACAUUAGGUGUCCUUCUCUAAAUUUAAGGAAUUAAGGAAGUUUUAUGAAGUCAAAACCCUCAAAAAAUAUGUUUCUGUCAGUAAUAUUUUUUUUGACAUUAUGCUUCUUAGCAGUCAUAUUUUCUUUCUCAAUCAGUAAAAUGUAAGUUAACGUUCAAUAUCACAGCAAAUGAUUGGUCACAAGUGUUAUCCUCAAAUAACAAUAUCACAUGUCACAAUAAGGAACAGGAAUACAAGGAACAAAACGUUCCAAAUGUCAUGCAUAAUAUAGCCACGGUUGUCAAAGUGCUCAGAUGAUAUUGGAAGGUGACUCAUUCACUUGUGGACAGAAGGACCAGGCAGCUAGGGAUCACCUAACUACAAAACAACUGAUAAAUUAUUAACUAUAAUGUAUGUGUACCUUUCAUGCGAUGCUAGAGGAUAAAUAAAUAAGUAUUGUUAUAAGAAUCUUUGAUUAUUGCAUCAUAUUCAGUAAUAAGAAUUGUUAAAGCUGGACUUUUCUUACUUCCACACAAAUGGUUCAAAAAAUCCCAAAAUUCUAAAAGAAGUUAUAACUAUUAAAAAUGUAGAAUUUUUUAAGAGAAUGAUUCCUGGAAGACAUGCUGAUCUACUUGUGCUGCACAGUUAACUAAUUACCUAUAAUCAUAUGAAGAAAGCUAUGCUCUAAUACUAAGGCAGAAUAUCUUCACAGCAAGCCAGCUAAAGAAAUUAAUAAUGAUGUAAACUAUCAAACGACAUACUUAGAUAAUUCAUUGUAGUCAUGUAGACAUCUAAUCAGAUGCCAAGCGUGCCCUAGCCUAUUCAAUCAAGUAGCUACAGAAACUACCAUGCAGGAAAAUUACUUCCACAUGGCCGCAUAAAGGCUACCAAAGGCAGAUUAAGGCCUUUAGAUUUGUUCUCGAGCCAAAUGCAUCCAGUAGAAUAGCUUCCAAGAAACGAUCUUGAUGUGUCGGAUGGUUUAUCUUCUAAAGAAAACAAGAACUCUAAGAUUAUUGUUUUAAAACAAUUUAUCUGUAUAAAAUUUUCCGCUUUGCCCAAAAAAUGUCCAAAUUUCUUUGAGCUAGUGGUUUUACUAAGAUCUUGAACCCCCCAAAGUUUUCAAAUUGGAGGUACACUGGCUCCAAAAUAAACUCUUAAGCCAUGCCUAUCUCCAUGUCUUUUUCGAGCUCCUUCGUCGUUUCGAUAGGCGAACACUAUAAAAAGGCGAAAUUAUUCUAACGAGGAGGAGAGAUUUGGGGGAGGGGGGUUGAGGUUGGGGUGUUGGAGGGGUGGGCUUACCUCGGUCCGGACGAUCCAAGAGGGUCUCGAGACACCCAGACGCGACGAACCGUUCUCCUUUCGAUGAAAAGGGUUGCCGCCACGUGCGGUGGCGGAAUCGCCUGGAGGCAGCGCGAAUGCGGCCGUGAACGUGGCCAUCGCCGGCGGGCGCGCAGAGAGAGCCCUUUUGAACGUUCCGUAAUGGUGUUGGAGAUAAUUUGCAGGGCUCAUACAAAGUCGGCAAGAUAGCCAAUUUCAUCAAUAACGUUGUCGAAAACUAUGCACGGAUCCCGGAUAUAAAAAUUCCAGAACAAGUCGGNNNNNNNNNNNNNNNNNNNNNNNNNNNNNNNNNNNNNNNNNNNNNNNNNNNNNNNNNNNNNNNNNNNNNNNNNNNNNNNNNNNNNNNNNNNNNNNNNNNNNNNNNNNNNNNNNNNNNNNNNNNNNNNNNNNNNNNNNNNNNNNNNNNNNNNNNNNNNNNNNNNNNNNNNNNNNNNNNNNNNNNNNNNNNNNNNNNNNNNNNNNNNNNNNNNNNNNNNNNNNNNNNNNNNNNNNNNNNNNNNNNNNNNNNNNNNNNNNNNNNNNNNNNNNNNNNNNNNNNNNNNNNNNNNNNNNNNNNNNNNNNNNNNNNNNNNNNNNNNNNNNNNNNNNNNNNNNNNNNNNNNNNNNNNNNNNNNNNNNNNNNNNNNNNNNNNNNNNNNNNNNNNNNNNNNNNNNNNNNNNNNNNNNNNNNNNNNNNNNNNNNNNNNNNNNNNNNNNNNNNNNNNNNNNNNNNNNNNNNNNNNNNNNNNNNNNNNNNNNNNNNNNNNNNNNNNNNNNNNNNNNNNNNNNNNNNCCUACUAAAGCAAUAGAUUAGUCAUAAGUCCUGGACUUACAAGGUCAAGCUGGCAGGAGCUUUUCUUGGGUAAAUAACUUGAUGGAUAUUUAUAACUACAACUUGCAUGGGAUGUGUCGAGGAAAAAUUAUUUAUGUUACUUGUGAAGCCGGCAAAGCAGCAGCCGGAACAUACAAACCUUGGAAUGGAAGGAGCCACAGGUGGCAAUGGGGCUCCAGCUAAUCCUCACCAACUAUGAUUGGGAGCCAAGAUCGCUUGGUUCCAACUACUUUCUUGCAGUGUUAUCCAUGCCUGUCACUCCUCUUGCUGGUGACACCAUAGCCAAUCAGAGAUGGUGGUAGGCUCGUCGCCUCCAUUAGAGAGUUCUUUCAGGGUUUUGACAUGUUCGUCAAACCUGCUGGAUCUUUGAGAUAAUCAGGAGAGCUGUGUCUGGUUCCUCGCUGUUUAAGCCCUAAAACAUUGGCGUGAGGUGGAAUGAGGCUACCAUGAGAUUUAUGGUUUCUGCGAGAACCCUUCUGCAAUCCCUUACACUAUGGAGGUCACAAGCUCAUAGUCUCUGUUGAGCUCCUGAGCACUCUCCCGGACAAACCUCGCCUUCAAAUCUUACGUACCUUCAAGAUGAUGAAAAUGAGCUCAUUCGACAGUCAACUUGCUGGUCAACAAGGAAACAGAACAGGAGGCUCUCCUCAUUACAGACUCCAAUACCCCAACACCCCCACUAAUCUGUUCUGAUACAAAACAAACAUUAAUGACCUACAAUUUAGAGUCACUGCAUGAUUAGAUUCCACAUUAUACAAUUUACAGAAAAUUUUCUGCACAGCGUUGAAAUAUAGCUUGCAAAGCUUAAAGGUCAUACAGAAGCUUACAAGUUAACAAUACUGCAGUCAUCUGUAUUUAUAUGGAUAUUGAUAUGAAAUAACCGACAAACAACAGCUGGCAUCAAGCCUUUACCAUCCAAUCUGAGGUUCAAAUUGGGACCGAGUUGAAGGCACUUGACAAUUGGCAUCUGCAAUUGAAAGACAUUGAUCGCCAUCCAUUGUAGUAGCUAAAACAAAAUGACAUAUGGCAGAAAUCACAGUUCAGUUGAAUGACUAUUUGCAUAAAGUAGAAGAAAGCAGAGACAAGAUGAUCCAAUCAGUAAUUGUUAUAAAAAAAAAGAAAUAAAGAUGAUCCAAAUCAGUAUCUCUAGGACUAGAUACGUUACGAAAUAUUGUUACUUCUCUUCGUGAUGCCAUGAUGGUUCGCCAUUGAUUAUCAUAUAGUGAAAACCCAUUAUAUCUCUGCAUUCCACUGUUCCAAAGCAUGGGUUACAAUACCAAGUCCACUUUUACUACAUAACUUGCAUCUGGGAAGAGAACAGAUUUGUCGCAUAACUAACAUCACAAGUAUUUUCAGUGCAGACAUCAAUGUAGCAACAUGUGAAAAGUGGGUGUCACCCUUUUGCACUCUGCUUUUGGAAGCAUAACCUGAAAACAAUCUGUCCAGCCUGCGAAUGUCCAGUCAUACACAUGAGAAGUGGAUAAUAAAGAAAGUUUAACGAGCAUAAGGCAAUGUUAAUCUGAAGAAAUUUACCACUAAUUGCUAGGUAUGUGCAUCCACAUGUAGAAAGCAAGAGACCUCUUCCCUGACAGUAGGGACAAUCGACUCCAGCACUUGUAUCACCAACAAUACAAGGUGGAUCUGGUUUCUUCCUUUUCCUUUCCUAACAUUUGACUGCAAAGUGAAGUAUCACAGAAACCCCCAAAACCUUUAGUCAUUACAAGCACAAACAACCGAAAAAUAAGGAGCAAUCUGUACCAACAUGUAUAAAAUUUUCCACUAAAUUAUUAUAAAAUUCUUUACCUUAAGUCCUUUUUGCCAAUUUUAGCAAUUUUAGUAUUCACCAAACUUUGCNNNNNNNNNNNNNNNNNNNNAAUGACAAAAAAGAGGUCCAACUUCUAAUUUAGUGGAAAGCAAGAGAGACCUCUUCCCUGACAGUAGGGACAAUCGACUCCAGCACUUGUAUCACCAACAAUACAAGGUGGAUCUGGUUUCUUCCUUUUCCUUUCCUAACGUUUGACUGCAAAGUGCAGUAUCACAGAAACCCCCAAAACCUUUAGUCAUUACAAGCACAAACCACCGAAAAAUAAGGAGCAACCUGUGCCAACAUGUAUAAAAUUUUCCACUAAAUUAUUAUAAAGUUCUUUACCUUAAGUCCUUUUUGCCAAUUUUAGUAUUCACCAAACUUUGCAAUGACAAAAAAAGAGGUCUAACUUCUAGUCUUUUUCAAACUAAUUUCAGCACUUGUAUAUGUGAUUAGUAGUAAUAUGCUCCUACUAAUGAUUUUCCAAUCUACACCUUCAUGCUUCCAAAUUCAGUAGGACUACUCUGAAUACAAAUUCCAUUUCAUCUCUUUAGGGAAAAAUAUUGCAGAAAGCCCAACCAAUUUCAUCCAGAUAUUUUCAUGAAAACAGCUAAAUACAGAUCGAAAUAUAAAAAAAAUAUAAAUCAAAGAUUAACAUUCAUCAAAAAUUACAUAGAGCUGCAAGAAACAACAGAUCCCAUCCCAUUAACCAUUAUCAUUUAAGGCAUAUAUUUGGAUGCUGAAGAAAAGGGGGAAAAACUCUAGGAUCAUUAUCUGCUAGUAAACUAUUCUUGAUUAUGAGAUAAAUUUGAAAGCUAAUAGUGAAGAUAGAUCAAAGCCAAAACAUUGCAGCACUACAUGUUCAAUUAGAAUAGCUAUCUAACACACAUGAGAGUAGGAUACAGCAACCCAUACCAAAUCUUUGGUUUAUUGGUCAUGUAGCACCAACAAUCAGAGACUAACCUCUGAAUUGACAACAACAAAAAUUGGAAUAAUCAGCUAAAAGAGGAUAGUAGUGCAGUCUUAGACAGAGAGAUGAUUUCUUGAAAACUCACUGUCUGAAAAACUUAGUUCAACAAUGAUAGAGAAGUCGUCAUAAGUUCAAGACAUGAUGCAAGAGAGAGUUUGAAAGUUUACCAACACAAGUUGGUUUAAUCAAGGACAGCUGAAUUUAACAGUAGUUGAUCCUUGGGAAAUCCAGAGUCAGUGGUACAUGUCAAGGAUCAAAAUGCUGGGAGCUUUGCCCAUUCUAACUAAAAACCAGCACCGAACAUCUGCUAUGCUGUACAAUGCCAACUAGGCAUGGGCACAAAGCAAAACUGGUCCACUGCGUGGUUUAUGCAGCUGGUACACGUAGGUAUGAAACUUCAAUGAUACUUUUGAUGCUUAGACCACUUCUAACUUCUUUGCAUUUGUGUUUCGACAUAUUCUGAACGAAUUAAAAUAACAGUUCUUAAUUAGAAAUAUAGCAAGUAGCAUCUUACCUUAGACCCUCAUAUGCGUUGAUGUGACAUGUGCAAUGCUCAAGUAGGUUGCAAUGCAAUCAGUAGUCAACAUCUGUCCCGGCACGUAACAAAUGUUAAAGUUAACAAACUACAACUGUACAACAUUUUUUUGAGCAAAUAACAAACUACAAAAUUCAUGGUACAAAAUGAAAAUAUAUGGGAGGCAAACAAGUGAACGGACAAUCCAAAAGAUCAUCGAGUCGUAAGAAUGCAUCUGCAUAAAUGAUGCAAUAAAAAAUAACACAUUAUAACGUAAACAAAUUCAAAUAAGAGUUGGCUCACUCUCACUCUAAAAGAUAUACCAACAGCACACUUUGAUUAACUACUCUAACCAUCUUUUCCCUUGGACGGAUUUUAAUUACUAUACCUCGUGAAUAGACAUGUCUUACGUAAAUAAGCAAAGUUUUAGUUAAUGUAUACCCAACUAGCAUCACAAGUAAUCCUAAUAUCCAUGCCCAUUGCUAUUCAGUAGAUGCAUAGCAUCAUGUUGAAUUACUUAAUAUGCAUCGAACAUUACAGAACUGUCUAUACACUAACAACAGAAAUAAACUUAACAUUCAUGGCAUAAACUAUGUGGGGAUGUGUGCAUGUUUUAAUUAAAAAAUGAUAAUUUGAUACUCCUAUAUCUAAUGAUGGAGAAAAUGAACAUUUAUCUAUUCUUUUGGAGUUGACUAUAUUGAUCCUUUCUUGACAUCAAGUCCUAUCAAAGCUUCAAGUACUUGAAAUCUCUUCAGGCUCCUAUUCAAGUCAUUUUGCUCAAUUCUAACUCUUUCCACAGCCUCUUAAACUGAAAUGCACAUCUCUUAACAAUUUGUAUCAUGUUUACACUUCAAAUGUCCAAACCAUUUUUUGAAAGAUUAUGUUCAUUUUCUUAUUGAUUGUAUUUCUUAUGCCAUUUUAAACAACUCGCUUUUAAUUGCAGGCUUUACAAUAAUAUCUCUAGCCACUAUCUCCAUGUUUAAAUGAUUAUUAUGCUUGACUUAUGCUUAAGUUCCAUUUUGUUAUUCCAUCACACUAAGGCAUAAAUGUAUAUGAUCAAAAUAACAAAAUAGAUUAAAUAAAGUCAAUUAAAAUAUAGGUUGAUUUUUCUUUUUUUUCUUUGAGGGACUAGGUUGAUUUUUCUUGUUAAGAAUAGAAAUAUGACAUUUAUACUUUCAGUUGAUAGUAGAGUGACGCAUUAGUGUUCUUGAUAUGAAGAUUAGGCUUUCUACGGGUGCCCUUACAGUUGAAUACAAACCAAAAUAAGAUCAAAUCACCAAAAGAUACAAGGUUCUUGUAAUGGCAUGUACCAGUUUGAAUUGAACUAGGAUGGACCAAUAUGGAAUGGCUGAUACACAAGGAUUGACAAUUUGCACCCAUGUAAAAUUUAAUAGCUAGAAUAGAAAAUUCUGGCAAGUAAGUUCUCCCACAUUAAACACGGUGCAUAUUUAAGGUUCCUAAAACAGGCAUACCUGAAAAUUGCUGAUUGUAAACAUAUUUAAUUUCAUUGCACUAACAAAAACUACAGGACAAAUCUAAAAUUAGAACUGGUUAUCUCCGGCUUUUAGAGAAAAUUAUUCAAGACCUACACUAUAAUAGUUUUGUUAAUAAUUAUCAACAUUUUUGUUGGUUGCUUAGUUGAUUGCAUUUCUUUUCUUUUUCUUUGUUCCCUUUUUUCCUUCUUUCUCCCCUUUUUUUUACUUUUUCUUUUGUUGUUGGGGGAGUGAACAUGGUUGGAGUUUUUGGAGACUCAAAAACCACUAUGUUUCAAUUUCAGUGGGAACCAAUCUAAAAUUUAGGCCAGUUUCAAAGUUUUGGCCAAUAUUCAUUACACAUUAAUUAUGUAUUCCAGAUAUUUGCCCAAAAAAUCUCACCAAGUUUUAUAUCCAAUUUUAAUUUAUUUUAUUUUUUAUAUUUUUAACAUAAACUGCUGAAACAAGCAAGAAGUUAUGAAACUGCCAACUAUAGAAACCCAGAUUCAUCAUUAUGUGUGGAAAUGAAAAUUGAAACUAGGGCCUGCAAAAGUUGAUCCAGAACCACCAACCAGCUGAAUAUGCCAUCAGAAAAGGGUUUGGGCCAAGCUGUUGUUGAUCCGAUUGAUUUUGGAUCGAAAUGGACGUGACCUAGCCAAGACAUGGGUCGGGUUUGGGUUAGGCACCUGGAGAAGGUUGGGGUUGGAAGGAUGUGAAAACUGAAAUCAGUUCACUCCUCCUCAACUACUCUAGUCUUGUGGUCCCACAGUCCACUCCAGUCUCUAGUUUUCCCUUCCACAUCUAUUAUUUAUUUUCCCCUCUUGCUAUCUUUUCUGUGGCCGCAAGCUUUCAACAAACUCCAUUUCUUGCUCUAUUUCAAGAUCAAGGUUCUCUUCUUGACCUCACCCUCUGUCAUAAAACCUAGAAGAGGCCAUCUAGGUUUUUUUUUUUUGGUGGAGAGGAGGUGAUCUUGUAUCUUUUUUUUAGAAUCUCCCCAGCCCCAAUUUUCAAUUGUGCAAUAGCUAAUGCAUUUGAGGAUGAGGCCAAGAAGAUGAUGAUCAGAGAGUACAUCAAGAGUCUCAAGGCAUGAGAGCUAGUAAGAAUCUCUUACCAAGAUCUUUUAUUUUGCUCCUUUUUACCAAAUCUGUGAUUCUCCUUUUAAGGUUAAUUCCCUGCUGGCAUUAUCUCAUCAUCUUAUUGAUGGAAACUCUAGGAAGUUGAUUUGAUUUUGGAUGAGUGGGGAGAAUGGGAACGGAAUGCACCUAUGUCAAUGGUACAUAAAGAGGUAGGUCAUCAUCUUGUGUUUGACUUAUAUUCUCGAUAGCAAAUGCUGGAACCUUUCCUAUAACAAAAGUGAGGUAGAUGGUAGCGCCCUUUCUAAUCAUGUUUUACAAUUCAUUGUCCUCGUGAAAUUCUUUGUUUAUGAUAUGCGGAAUUUCAACAUAGUAUAUAAGUAAAUAUUUGAAAUUUUGAAUACAAACAAAAAAUGUUCUUUUAUUUCAAAUUUACUUGAAUCAACUGAAAUUCGAGUGGAUUGGGUAUGAGUUUGCGUCAAGGAUUGAGGACCUAGUUCAUCAAGGUCCAUCCUCACGGUACCAUUCCAACUUGGAGAGAGACCGAGAACAGGGAAGCAUUUGGGACCCUAGGUCUUUCAAAAUUAAGCCAUUCGGUCCUUUCUAGAUGGAACAUACCGAGACCACCAUAUCCCGACACUUGGAACAGUUUGGCAUCCCGAGACACUAAUUCUGUAACUUACUUUCACCUUUUGCUUUUCUCUUUGUUGUCGUUUUUAAUGAGUAUUCAGAACUAACUCGGUCUAGUUAAAUUUUUUGUUGACUAGAGCCAAAGUUGAGCUAACCAGAAUAUGUCUUCACCCACCCAAUUGCCACUCCAAAUUGAAGCUGGGUUUUCGAGCUUGAUUAGGAACCAUAGCAACUACAGAUUGUUUUUUGGAGUUUUUUUUCAUAUUACUUGGGGAGUGCUUCUUUGAGGUUAUCUUGGUCUUUUAAGAAUUUUUUUAGGUCUUUUGAGAGUUCAAAUUUAAUUAAUAUUGAUCUGGAUUAAAUUUCAGGAUUUCUUGACUGUCUUAUAUUUGUAAGAAAAACAUUCCCAAACUUUUCCUAUGAAGAAAGAAAUUUUUGUAAUUUUAUUCAAACUUCAUUAGGUUUCCUUCCCUAGACUUUCAGGAGCUUAUAGAAAGUUUCAUUAAGGGAAACACUCCAAAAGAGACAUGUUUUUGGCAGUCAUGUAAUCUUUAUGUUUCUAGCAGUCAUAUAUUCUUUAUCAAUGGAUAUAAAAUGUAAAAUUAACAUUUCAAGAUCAUAGAAAACGGUUGUUUACAAGAGCUAUCCUUGAAAAGCAAGUACAUGUCACUGCUGAUCAUAAAAGGAAUGCAAAUUGACAAAAAAAAAAAAACAAAACAAAACAAAGCAAAAGGUUAAAAAUAAUUUCAUCGUGCAACCACAACAGCCAAAGUGCUUAGAUGAUAUUGAACAGUAACUCCCUCGGGCUUCUAGAGAUAAGGACCAGACAGCUAGAGGAUCACCUAAACUAUCAAACAACUAAUAAGUUGUUAACAUAAAAACUGUCACCUUUUCCCUCAUAUGUGUUUCUUAUCUUUCACGUGGCGUUAAAGGGAAGAAAAUGAAUAUCCGUAUAAACAUAUUUAGUUAUUGCAUCAUGUUUAGUAGAUGAACUACCAUACCUAAACUUUCAUCAGUUCCAUGUAAAUAAGUUCAAAGAGUUAAAAAAUUUCAACAUAAAUCACUAUAACUAUAAAGAAUAAAUUACUUAAGAGAAUUAUUCCUGAAUGACUGACGAUUUAAAAAUGCUACAAUUUAGCUUAUUAGCUACAGUAGCAUGAAGAAUGUUAAGAUCUUAUAGUACUCUAAAAUAGAAAAUUUAGCUUCCAUAAUUUAUUUUAUAAAUCUAUGCAGAUGUUAAGCAGUGCUAGCCUAUUCAAUCAAGUAGCUGAUCGAACUAUCACGACGGAACCUAAGUAGAUGAAUGGAGAAAUUACUUUAACCUAGGUAGAUGAUGAAUGGAGAAAUUGCUUUAACCUAGGUAGAUGAUGAAUGGAGAAAUUACUUUAACCUAGGUAGAGGAUGAAUGGAGAAAUUACUUGAACCUAGGAAGAUGCAAGUGCCUCGACUCGUCAAUAGCUUCUAAGAAACGUUCUUGAUAUGCCGGAUUCACUAUCUUCUAAAGAGAAUAAUGAUCCUAUGAUCCUUUCAUCCUUCAUUAUUUGAAUAUAAAAAUUUCCCUGUUGCUCAAGAAAUUAUACAAAUUUCUUUGAGCGAGUGAUUCUAUCGUGACUUCUUGAAGCCCUCAAGGUAUUCGACUGUCUCUCUUCAAAUUUUUCUUUAAUUUUCUAGAACUAAGUUCUUGGUAAAUUUGGAAUCGGAGGCGGCUUACCUCGGUCCGGACGAUCCAAGAAGGUCUCGAGACGAGACGCCCAAACCCGACGAUCCGUUCUGGGCUCGAGGAAAAGGGCUGCCGGUUGGUAAGGCGGCGGGGUCGCUGGGCGCCACCCGGAGGGCGUCCACGAGCGCGGCGAACGCCGGCCGGCGAGGCGAGGAGCGGGGAGAGAGCUGGGAAUUGCGGCGGCGAAGCGAAGCGUUUCCCCACGAAGUCGGCAAACGUCCCUACUUUAGCUGGAAGUAACUUGUAGUUACAACUUCAUAUAGGUCGGCACUGCUUGCCGAGUUUACUUUUUAUAGGUUAUUUUAAGAAAACCCCUAACUACAACAGAAAUAUCGGAUGAAGAGUGAUUAGAAAAAUAAUAUUGUUAUUUUUCCAUUAUUACCUAUUAUUUUUUGUUAUCAUGCUGUUGUAAUAAUCAUCAUAGUAAUAAUGAUUUAAUGCUAAAGAAUAAAAAUAGUAUAUUUUAGGUAAACAACAGUUUUUUUUUGGGAAAAAAAAAGGGAGGACUAUCCCAACUCACUUUUCAAGUUUGGUUUUGGUGAGCAUUUGUUUUAGUGAAAUGACAGAAUUAUUCAAACUUUUUAUUAAUAUGGAGUUCUCUGAGCAGAUAUCACAAAAUUCUUAAAGAAGCUCAUCCAAGAUACGUUUGAAUAUGGACUUGAGGAGUGUUGGAAUCUAUACUUGUUGGGAUCUUAUGGCUUGAGUAGCCCAAAUUGAGUCUAGUAGCACUAAGGUCCAUGACCCCUAUAUUAACAUGUCUCUGAGGCCUUCUGCACAAGAAUGCAUGUCUAAAUGGAAGUGAUGUUAGGGGUGAGUGGACUGGAUAAUAUCCAUCCGAAUCCAUUUUCAUAUAUUUGAGUAUCCGACUAACAUCAGCAUUCAUAUCCAUAUUCGUCAAAAAAAAUAUAGAUAUGGAUAGAUAAUUAUCCGAUCCAUAUUUAAAUAUUUGAUUUUAUUUGUAACUCUAUUUAAUUUCAUAUAGAACUCAAUAACUUUUAAAAGAAAUAUAUAACCAUAUUAAUAUAUUAUUUAUUUAAUUUAUCAUCCACUUAGUAAUAUCUUUAUUUUUUUGGUCAUAAAGUUUAAUUAUCCAAUUUAUAUCUGCAUUUAUAUCCAUACUUUCAUUAUUUUAUUUAUAUCUAUAUCCAUUUAAAAUAAAUACGGAUAUGAAUUUUGACAUCUAACUAAUAUCCACAUCCGUAUUUGUGAUCAUCAGAUAAAACAAUUAUGGAUAUGGAUAUACUGCCAUUCGACUAGGUUGCAGUCCCAAAUGAUCUACAAUACUAUUGAGAAAUGAUUAGGCAUUUUUAUUAAGUGAAUAAAAGAAGGAUUAAAGCAAGGAGUGCAUAGUAAAGACAAUAAGCUAAAUCUAGAUGAAGACAAUAAUAGAAUUGCAAAUUUCUUUGGACUGUGAGCUGAUACGGUACACAGUGGAAGGGUGGUGAUGGAAUAACCGAGUGAGAGAGAGAGAAUUAGAGAAAAUAAGGACAAAUGCAAGAGAGGAGAAAUUGGUCAGAGCACAAUCUUGAUUCUGACUCAGAAUUUCUAUUCUGAUACCAUAUUGAAAUUACUAUUUAUUCCAAAAGCUUAAGCUGGUAUGAUGAGGUAGAUUUAUUUAUAUAUUUUAUAUCUUCUUACGGUUUCUCUCUUUCCAAAUCAAGUUGCCAAGACUAAUUGGUCCCAGCCCUCCACUUCUUGUUAGCAAUUCUCCUUCUCCUCCGAUCACUACACAAGUCUCGGUUAACACUAAUGCAAGUUACCAAAGCAGUUCAUAUAGAUUUUGCGUGGGAACAGAGCAAGAAUAAAUGGCUACACGUCCACCAUCCACGGGCCAUCCCUUUCUCAGUGGGCAAACUCUUCUCAAGUGCCAGGCCAGGCACACAUGGAUCUUGAUCUUCUCCGGGGCUUUGGCAUUCCAUAACGCAUUAUAGUAAAUUCUCAGCAGUCACCCAGAGUUGACAAACCUGUAGUAUGAGUUAAAAGUGAGAGUUUUACUCGCUGUUAACUUCUACAUAGGCUUGUCAUGGACCUUUGAAGGUCUUCAGUAGACAGCAGUGUCACCAAGCUUCUGAAAUCUUCUUCUUCUUCUUCUGAAAUCUUCUUCUUCUGCCCUGUUUAGGUAUCAAUUUUCAAUUCUGCUAUUUUUUAACCUCCAAUAAGAAGCCACUGUGGUGUUUUUCUUAGGAAAGAUGGCAUGCAUCUUGGGAAACAGCAAGUUUAAAGGUAUGCCGAGAAUCUACCCAGCAAUCUUCCCCAUAACCUCAGCUUGCACCAUUCCCUAGUUUGAACUCCAAGCAGUUCCAAAAGGCAUUGAGAUUCCUACAGUUAUCUCUCCACAUCUGUGACAGUCCGGUGAUCGUCCUUCUUACUCGAGGUCCAAGCUUCCUUCCAGAAUAGUAAACCAACAGGAGACGGAUGGACAGUGAUGACGUAUAUUUGGAGCUUAGAAGACAGCUAGACUUCUCCAAGAAGGUGGUCGAACGCUCUGAGAUUUAUUCGAAGCUAACCGACCAAUUAACAAAUAAUACUUCAGUCAAAUGCAGCAUUGCUCGUGUGUUGGGCUCUCGCAAUCAACUUCCAAUGGUGAUUUAUGAGCUUGGAAGUAUCCAAUACAGUUGGCCAUCUCGGAUUUGCCUCUCCCUUGCACUUCUACUAAAAGAAAAUUCAGGAGGUCUGAUCGAAGGUAUCGAGGUUUUUGAACCUACUGCUACUCCUGUGGAGAGCAGAGUUAUAGAAGACCUGGGCUGCAGUAUCAGUUUAAUAAAUGAGAUGUGCCAAAGAGUUGAUAAGCCCACACUGUUUUUCCUCCAGUAUCCAGACAGAGUGCUUUUUGAGCAUUUGUUUGAGAUUAACUGGUGCCCGGAUCGAUUGAGCCAGAUGAUAGUCUUGGGUUACAGCUUUAAACGCAUGAUGGAGAGAAUUAAUACAUAUAUUUCAGAUCAAGAAGAGGAGGGCGUCACCGAGCAAAGGAAUAAAUUACAGAGGUUGAUUGCAAUCCAGAAGUAUGUAUAUGAGUUCAAUGUAUGUGAUAAAAUAAAGAGCAUGCAUCGAGGUGAGCUAUUGAUAGAAGAAGAAUGGGAACAACAAUGUGACGAUCCACCGAUGUGCGCAAGUGAGGCUAGUGGGAACAACAAUGCAGAGAUGGACUUUGAUAGAGAAGACAAUGAUGGAGAAGAAGGAAGGUCGAAUUCUGAGUUUGAUGAGUAUGAUGAAGGGAUUUUCUAUGUAAUGCUUUCAUUGCACUUUUUCAAGCUGGACCCUGACACCAACAUGGAAGCAUUGCUGCCAAGUAUGUUUUGGUAGUCUCCUUCUAUUCUUCUUGAUGCUUAACUUUUCAUGCAAUUUGAAAGUUCUAUCUUCUUUCAGGUACUUCGUCGAAGGGAAUUAUAAAGCUCGAUCAAAUGAAAAUCAGCCAUGAAAAUCCCUUGAGGUGAGUAUCCAAUCCCAGGCUAAUCCUUGAGAGCAAUUUUUUGUUCUCUCUGUGCAUGGUUGCAUCUAAAUCUGUAGAAAAGAUUAGAAACUGAUUUCUAGAUAAAUGUCCAUUCUUCGACACUAUUUAGAUGGGUUUCAGAAUCACAAGUAUACUAUCUCUGCUUAUUUUAUAGACAGAACCUCAUUGCUUCCUGCAGGUCAGAUGAUAAUUUAGAACCAAGAACUUGGGUUUAUCAAAUACCUUGGGAAAAGACUAAUAGCAUAACAAAUUCAGUUUAGUUUUUCAUAAUUAGUUUUGGUGAGAAAUUGGAAGAUUAAUAUACUGUCUUUUUCAAGGAACAAGAUGUAAUAAACUGUUAAUAAGGUAGCUUUCCUAUAACUGCACUAUGACUCUGCUCUGCUUUAUUUAAUUAUUUUGGAAAUCCUCUUCUUUAUUUUCUGCUUAAUUUUUAAAUUUUGCUAAGAAAUCAGCAUAUUUGAUGCUUUGUCCACUUUGGAUAUCAUGGCUCCAUUGGCAAACCACGAUAUUUGUUCAUCAUUUAAUUUAUGUGCUAUUUUUUGGGUGGCAUGUUUGCAUGCUGUUGUUUGCUCUAGUCUAAUGCCUUUCUUGCAAGGUGUCCAGAAUACAGGGAUCAUAAUAGAAAUUACAGAAUGAUGACUUCCUGAGUUUCAAUGCUUAGCCACUCAACAUAGGAUUCUUAUUUGGGUUUUCACUUCAGUCAGGUGUCCUAAUUUCUGAAAACUAUAUCAAAUCCAAGACUACACAAGGUAAUAUAUUUGGAUGCUUGGGUCUUUUGAGCUACACAAUUAAUUAUCUUGGGCAUGCUUGGCACUGAUGAAAGCUAGCAGCUUGUUGGGAUUUGGAACAUAUUCGGCAUGUCAACUCUGCGUAGUUGUUAAUAAUACAACAUAUACAAUUUUAUUUUCAGAAUAGAGUGAGGUAGGAAAGUAGAGCUCAAGUAGUUUCUUUUUCUUGCUUGACAUCUUUAUAUGAAAAGAAGAAAUAGCAUUUGUUCGUAAAAUGUAUUAAGUGUGGUUUCUAUUGAUCAGCAAGUGAUCCAAUAUAAUAUCAGUUUACAUGUUAUAAUUCACGUUCAAAGAAAAAAAAGAACAAUAUUAGUGGAGUUAUGGGAAGCAAUAGAUAUCGGCUAAGAAGUAUUGGGUUUCUUGAAUAGCAGUUGGUAAAGAUGGAAGGGAAAAUGGUGGAAAGAGGUAAGAGGUUGUGGGAAUGGGGAAAAAGAGAUUGAUUGCUGAAUAAUGAGGAAGAUUGGUUCAGGACCUUAAAUUAGCCCAUGUGGAAGGAUGAGUUUGGGAAGCUUGGGAAAGAUAGAUUUUUCUUUAUUUAUUUAUUUGUUUUAUCAAUUUUUUUGAGUUCUCUCUUCAUUAACAGUAAUUAAGUCAUCUUAGACGUGCAUGUCUAUGUGUGUGUUGUUCAUCAGUUAUUUCUAAGAUUAUUCUGAAUGAUUUAUAUGUUGUUUUUGUAGUAACUGCUAAUGUUUUUAAACGCUGUUUAGUAUCUAACAAUUAGUCUACCUUCAACCAGUUGGUAUUUUUCUCCUGAUGGCGGUGCGUACAUGGAAGAAGAGGAUGUAGAGGAAGCAUUGAAGUUAAAGGAAGAGAUUGAAACAACUAUGGAAGAAAUCAAAGAAUCUGAGUUGUACAUCAACCUCCGAAAUCAAUUAGUUAAUGAUCCAGAAGUGAGAGAUAAUGUCAUACGAGUACUAGGCUCUCAUGAGUCCAUCCAAAUGGUUAUUUAUGGAAUUGGAAGCACUGAGUGUAGUUUUGAUUCACAAUACCAGCUUGCCUUAGCACUACUUCUAAGAGAGGACUCAUGUCUUCCGAUCGGAGACAUCGAAAUCUAUGACCCUGUCUUGUCUCAAGCUGACAUCAAGGCUUACUCAGACUUGAGAUGUAAAGUUCUCUUGAUCAAUGAGCAAUGCAGAAGAAGAGUGGAGAAGCCUACUCUAUUUUUCAUACCAGGAUUGAUGGUGUGGCUCGUCGGGAACUUGCUCGAGGUGACUUUUGACCCAAAACAAUUGAAUCAGAUGAUUCUGAUUGACACCAUUGGUAGAGGUAGAUUGGAAACUUUGGAUCAAUUGGUUACAGAAGGACCUAGUGGUCUAGCUGUUAAAGUACUCGAACAUGAAGAGAGAGAGAGAUUUCGAUGGGUAAUUCGGAACUACGUGAAUAAGGAGAUUAGCUUUGAUUACUACGAUAAGUGCUAUCAUCUCUCCGAGUUAAAAAUCAGUUUCUUCAAUGUCGGUCCUAAUGUUGACAUGAAGUCCUCCUUGCCUAGUAAGGGGUUCUCUCUCUUUAAUAUUCAUUUAUUUCUUUAUUUUGAGAUGGUAUUAUUGCUUUAUUACUUACAUUUUGCAUCUAUGAUUCAUUUUGAUUUAUUUUUUUUGCUCCCCAUAACUCUGGCGAAGGUGUUUCUAUGAAGCAACGGUUUAAAUCUGACUAUUUCGUCGCUAAAGAACACCGCAACACCCUAAUCUUUGAGUAAGUAGUUCGACUUAAUUGCCCUCCUUUUUUUUACUUGGGUUGUUUCUGAAGUGUUGAUUUCUACAAAGCAUUAAUGAAUUUAUCUUAAUUUCACUCACCAUGAAUUAUUAACAAUCUUUAAAAGGCAUGAAAUGAUUGCUCCUCUUCUUUAGGAACCAUCAGAAUUACAUGCAUAUUAUCAUAUUUCUUCACUACAUCCAGAAGCAUCUUUGGUACUAUAUCUAAUUUGAAUUAUGCUAGUUUUAGGAUCUUCUUCACCACCAAGCAUUAGGUUUCACUCCUGAAACAUGAGCAAGUUUUGGCUUAUUCAGGCAUAAGAUUGCCCCUCCCCUCCUUAAAAAUAUGAAAUUGGUUAUGAGCUCCACUCUGGAAUUUCGCAGGUAUGGAUAGGUUUCUGAAUUCAAUUAUGAGAAGACCCUAUGCUUAUGUCUGGGUUGUGCUUGAUUGUUUCUCUUACAAAUCUUAACAAAAGAUUGAUGACCAUACAUCAGAAUCAUCCAUAGCCAUAUGGAUCGUUAUAAUAAAUCGCAAGCUCAUCACUGUUACAAGAAGCCGGAAAUUUGUUUUGUUUGAAGAAAAAAAGCCUCAUUAUUGCUUUCUUACAGCUCCAUCCACCAAUUUUCUUCUAGUUCAGGUACCCACUUCCAUUCCUACCUACAACAAAAUUUCCCUGAUCUUAGCAGCUGGUCUUUUAAUCAGAGUUAUGAUUUCUUGCUCUCAAUAAGCCAGUUUCAUUUCUGAAGAUUCCAAAUAAUGCACUAACAUUGUUUUCAUAUAAACUACUUAUGUUUAUCUCAUUCCUUUUUUAUUUGCCAAAUAUAAUAUAAUGUAUGAGCAAAGUCACAAGUAUCAUACAUUGACGCUUACAAAGUAUCAUAUACAUAUUGAACAAAUAUGACAUUUCCAUACUGUAGUUUGGUUAAUUUGGUCACUAGCAGAAUAAACAAACUUCUACAGAUGUUCUACCUACCUAGAAUGCAUGCUUGGGAACCUUUUAUUUCAUCUAACCUAUCUUGGGAAGGAGUUUUGACGUAGAACCUGAGUUUGUCGUCUAUAACAGGCUGACAGCAUAAAUGAAAGGAGGUGGAAAUCCAAAAGUUGUUCACUAAAUUUACUUUUUGGUUAUUUCUUUUGCAUUUGUAGUCACCACAAGGGUGGUUCUUGUUGAUACCUUCAAGCGGGGACUGGGCAGAGGAAAUAUGUCCAAAAACAAAUCAUAGACAAGGAAGUUGCAAAAAAGAAAAUUGGAAAAAAAAUAAGUAAAAAAAAAAAUAAGAGGGCUCUUACUAGGGAACAAUGAAUUCACCUGCAUCUCUUUUUUAUUAUGAAUAUAAUUUUGCUUUAGAGGUCAAAGCUUCUAAAAUUUGUUUUUGUUUACUUUUAGAGAGCUGACAGAUUCUGAAGUUUUGAUCCGACCAUUCUUAGGAAAUAUAUUAAUACUUAGGUAUGUUGAUGGGCUUUGGUCCUCCAUUACACUCAAUAGAUAAAUAAAUAAAUUAAAUAAUAUUAGGGUGAAGGCAAAUAAAAAUGAAAUGAUGAAUGAUUCAUUUGACUAAGAAAUUUCUACUUCCACUCGACAUGAGUCCAUCAAACACAGAUCCUAAUGAAACCAUCACCUAUCACAAAUCCUGUACUGUGGUUGUAUCCAGUUUCAAGCUUAGUGUCUAUAGGCUAUGUUCUGAAAUUUUUUUCCAUCAUAAUACUAAUCCAACUUUUUUUUUCUCGAUUAGCCGUCUUGCUUAUUAUCACAUGUAUGCUGAGGUGAGAUACAUGGAACCCUUUACGGAGGACUUCUAUGAUCCUUAUCUUGAUCGAAGUUGCUUGCCUUCGAGUCCUGAUGAAAAAUGGUCAUAUAUCUAUGGUCAUAUUCGUGGUCCAGCUAGAUAUCGACGCAUCGGUUUCGAGCCACAAAAGGGCUGGGUCAAGCUCAACUUCAGUGGUUUUAGCCAUGGAAAAGAAGUACCAGCUGGUUUUGGUGGUGUAGUUCAUGACGAGCAUGAUAAUCUGGUAGUGUCCUACGCCGGGCCUCUCAGAGAUGUUGAUUUCACAAUGGCCAGUGUAGAGGCAUUGAGGCGUGGCUUGAGAUGUCUUAUAGACUUGAACUUCUCUCCUCUUCCUAAAUUGAUAAUUGAAGGAGAUGCCCUUAGCAUCAUAAGAUGGGUUAAUCGCAGGUUCCCACCUCCAGAGAGAGCAACCAAAGCAUUUGAAGAGAUCUAUGUUCUGAUAUCUGAUGUAGAAUGUGUGAUCAGUUAUGUGCAUGAAGAAGCCAAUCACAAGGCGGUCGAAUUAGCUAAGAAGGGAGCAAAGCUUCACAAGUUUCAAAUCUGGGAGCAUCAGAGAAAAGUAAUCUAGAUGGCUAGGGAGUGAAGUUUAGACCUUUCUCUGUGUCACUUUCUGAUCACAGAAUGAUAUUUUAUGCUGCACUGGAUUUUUGUUUUUGAAAGCAAGCCAACAUGAAUAAUUUGGAAACUUUUUUUUCUUCAAUGUUGUAACACUCAUAACCAGAAGUAACCAGCUUUUUGAAGAUUCAGAAAUGCUGUAUAUUGGAGUACCCUUUUUUAUGUGGUUUUCUUUUGUUGAAAUGAAGCAGACAGCACCAACAAUAGGCUUCAGAAGCCUUCCAUGGGGAAACUCCCAUGGCAGCAGAACUUUAAUUGUUCCUGCCUACUCAAUUGUUAUACAGCAAAUUCCUUUUCCAACAAACCUCUCAUAUUGGAUAAAAUGAAACUUUGAUAGGUCCUCCUUGGAGAUACUAUAUCAAAUUGUGGAGUGUGUUUGUGGAGAUACUAUAUAUAUACAAGUAAUUGGAGAGGGAUAGAGCCCCUGCCCAGCUUUCAUUAAGAAGAAAGUUUAAUACAGCGGCCUAAGGCCACCAUAAAGAGCGAGAAGAAUUACAGAUAGUUGCAUGGCUAGGCAAAGUACAUCUUAGUUUGAUCUUCCUAUAUGCAAGAUCCUAGUUCGAAUGAGAAUCCUUGUUAGCUCAAUGCUGAAGCAAUUUAGGAGGUGAACUGAUGGAUAUCCAGAGUCUUUAGAGGACAUUCCAGCUUGUGAACUGAUUUAUAAUCCUUGCCAUGAUAGAUGCAUCCAUGGUAUGUUGUACCGGUCGAUACCAGUCAAUACCGGACAUACCAUACUGGUACCGGUGGGUACCGAUAUCGGUAUACCAGUGUCGGUACGCCUGGCAUACCGCGUACCGUACUGUACCGAUACUCGGUACGUCUAUGCUAGUGCGGCACCGGUACAAGAUCCGGUACUAGUACGGCAAACUUUGGAUGCAUCUAAAGAUAUAUACAAGACGACAUACUAACAAUAUGCUGAAGUAAUUCAAAAUCUAAUAUAUAUAUAUAUAUAUAUAUAUAUAGAGAGAGAGAGAGAGAGAGAGAGAGAGAGAGAGAGAGAGAGAGAGGAGAGAGAGAGAGUGAAAACGGAGGAAGAAAGGCACUUCACCCCAAUUUAUUGAUAACAAAAAUUAUUUACGGAUGGGAGGGGUACAGGAUGUCUGGGGCGAGCAUCAGCGGAGAGAGGGCGGACAUUAGUUUUUGGUGGCCCUCAAACGAUUUGUCGGUUCCCCUGAAGGUAUGAAGGAUCUUGAAUAACACCACAUACACUGAUGAGUUCAUUUUAAGAAAAAUGAUGCAGUAAUUGAAGCAGAUGCUCUUGGCAUCAUAAGGUGGGCUAAUGACACCUUUCCACCGCCGGAGAGAGCAGCUGAAGCAUUUGAAGAGAUCUACUACCAUCUAAUGUCACAUGGGGAAUGUGUGAUUGUCUCUGCAUGCAAGGAAGCCAACUGCACAGCAGUUGAAUUAGCUAAUCAAGGGAGCGGAGCUUCACAAGCUUCGAAUUUGGGAAUAUCCAGACAACUGAGAAUUUGAGAUGGUUAUUGAUUACAGACAGACUACAGGUUAGAAUUUUUUCCCUAUUUCCCCUACAUUUUGAAACAUUUAAAACCAGAAAUAACCAGCUUUAUGUAGAUUCUGAGAUGUUUUAUGUUUGCUUUUUUGUGUGUGCGUGUGUUGAAAUGAAGGAGAUAACACCAAUAAUAGGCUUCCAGAAGUCUUCAUGGGGGAACUUCUACGGCAACAGGACUGAAUUAAUUUUACCGCCUACCCAAUUACAAUAGAAGUUCCUGGCCAACAAACCUCGCAUAGCGAGUUAAAAUAAAAGUUUAACAAAUAUUCUUUGUUAGGGUUAUGAUAACAAACUGUAAAGAAUGUAUAAAGAACAAGAAAACUUCAGGUUUUCUUGGGGGGUACAUAAACUGCGGCCAUGCUUGGUUCAAGAACUCUGAUGCAUCACACCAAAUUCAUUAGCAUACACAAUAGUAAGCAAGGGGAAGAAGGAAUAUAGAAAAAUACAACCACUAGAAUAGGAAAACCUAUCCAAAGAAUAGAAUAUGCAAGGGUCGAUGUCUAUUAAUUGUCUUCACCUGGAGUAUGGAGACCAUGACCUAAACAAAUCUGAAGAGACAAAAGCUAACAAGAACGCAAAGAUCAAGACCCAACCUAUUAUAAGUGCUUAAGAUUCAACAACUUGUCGAUUUUAUUUUUUUUUGCAAAGAAAAAUAAUAAUAAAAUCUGGCAACCUGCAAAGCGGAUGCUGCAGAUGCACCAUCCAAUUCCUAUCGCAGUCCAUCAACGCAUAAGUCAAGGUAAUCUUAGUAGUUGCUCAAAUUAGAUGCUACUCUCCAUUACUAUGAAUCAGAAAUUUCGGGUUGCUUUUCUCAAUAAAAGAUAAUUGCUGGUUUUUGAAUUAUAUAUAAACAAAGAUAUUACGAAAAAUAGCAUAGAUUAUAAGGUUAUGGGAAGGUCACUCAUCAAGAUCAACCAUUAUUAUCAAAAUCCUAUCCAAGUUGCCAGACGAUCAAGCAAAGAGGUGUUUGUGUGAAAUGACAGGUUUUAUGUCAAUUUUAUACAAUUGGUCUAUUCUGCACACCUGACUGAAGCGGUCAACUCUCAAAAGCUUCACACUUUCACAAGCAAUGACUAGAAAAAUAUGGUUAUGGAAUUCUACUAGCCACUGAGUGUCACAGUAUGGUACAACGGCCCCUUUCUGCUGCAGGAGGUGCUGAGGCUUGUUGAUGCCUGCUCGGGUCUAAUGGGUUGUAGGUGAACUCGGAGGUAUCAAGACCAUACUGUCCACAGGCAAAGGAAGCAAGAAAUAAGUCACAGCUAAAGAUGCAAAGGCCCAGCAUCUACAAACAAUAAUUUUCUUUUUUAAAAAAAAUAAUGUUCACAGAAAUAACCUUUUCCCUCAUCCUCUGGCUCCAUGCAUCAUUCCUGCUUGGACGUUGAUCCAGAGUACCAGGUACAGGAACCCCAGUUGCCGGAACUGCUUGUCGAUGGAUCAAUGGUUGACGGAAGCCAGAUCCUGGGUUGAUAUACUCAUCAUCACUGUCAUAGUCAGCAGGUGUGUUCGCUGCUCUCACUAUAAGCGCUAACAAGAACAACAACGCCUGCAAAUUAAUACUUGUGUCAUUUUGCUAAGGUAAUUUAUUUGCCCUUCCCAUGAGCUUGACUCUUGGGGCAAGGUCCAUGGUAGGAGAUUUGGCUUAAACAUUGAAUGAAGUGUAUGAACAAUUAAUUCCCAGAAACCACCAUACAGCAGCAAAUUAGAUCAGAGCAAAGAAAAAAAUGAGAUAAAAUUUAACAUAAACAAUAAGAUGCAUUGGAGUCGAGGUGGACAUAUGGAGCAACUGAUUUGAAACCAUCAUAGUAAAAUCUUAACCACAGAUUGGGUAUGACUCCCGAACAAGAAUGGAGCAUCUAAAUGGAUUAGGUAAGGAUCUGGCAAAAUUGGACCAAACAUAAAAGACCAACCAAACCCACAUAGGUCAUAUGGAAAAGAGUUAAAAUUGCCUGGUACCAGACCCAACACGAACCAACCCAUAAAAUAAGUGGAUCGGAUCCUAGACUUGAUGCAUGUUCAAGUUCAGACCAGAUCAAAUCCAGUAAUCCAGUCCUAAAGAUGUGUAAUCACCUGGAAGUCAUCGAUAGUUAACAGUACCAUGAACUUGAACUAAGACAGUCACACCAUUACAGAGUAAAUAAAAUUCAUGGUAACAAUUCUCUUCAGAUUUUCCAUCAGCUGUUGACCAAGUAAUAUCAUUUUAUGAUUCCCUAGAACUGGCAAUCAAUGUCUUCGAACAGAAAAAGUAUUGCCAAAUUUAAACAGAUUUUGCAAGCAUUUAAGCUUUUUCUUAGUCAUUAAACUUCCAAGAAGCUUCUCCUGCACAGGUAUCAUACAACCAGGCAAUAAUGAGAAAAUACGCAUGAAUUUGGCCAGGUUGAUAAUUAAGUAUCAAACUAUUUAAGACAACAAGAAAGAAUUGCUAGCUGGAACAGCUGCAGACUCAAAAAUAGCAAAAGUUACAGAUGCAUUCUGUUCAAAUUGGGAACAAUAAGUUUGUGGAUUAGACUGCAAUUGAGUCUAUAGAAGGAAAAUUGCAUUAUGAUGCUGUCAAAAGCAUCAUAUCCAUGCAAAUUACAAUACAACGGAUGGUAAAAUUGUGAAAGAAAUCUAAGAUGACCUUGAACCCAAAUGACACUUCCAGAUUUAGUUAAUCCAUUCUUUGAAGGACAGAUAUUUUCACUUCAGUUGCUUAAUUGGGAGACAGAAGACAGUUGAGCCAAGCUAAUCCCUGAAUUACUCAAGCUAUAGUCAGUAUUCAAUUAAUAAAUUACAGGAUUUAUCAUAAUCAUAACAAGCUGCAACAACAGCAAAGCUGUCCACACAGCCAAGAUUUUGUUGUCACUGUAACCUCAAAGAAAAUAGUUCCUCAAGGGAGAGAAUAAAAUAAAUAACGGUCUUGCCACCUUCCAAAAGGCCAUUAUCACCGCGACAAUUUGAAUAAAAGAGAAUGUUUUUUUACUUCCAAAACACUUUUCCCUGAAAGAAAGACAGGUAACGAGGAAAACUUUCAAUCUUGGCUAAUAUAAGAUAACUCGACUCAGAUUCAAAAUUUUACAUUCUUUUUUUUUUGGUAAAUCGGAUUUAUUAAACCAAUCUAAAAUAAAAACAUCCAUGGGAAUCAGCAAAUAAAAUUCAGUAGGACCAUCUGCCAAAGUCGUCCAUAGCAUACAUCCCAUGUGAUUAGCCACAUAUGUUGCCAUCUAAUCUGGAACACUGUUUGCCUAUCUAUAAACAUUGUGACUUCAAAAGAUUGGAAAAUUCUACAUUCUUUCAACUACAUUAACUACAUAGUUAAAUAUAACUUUUAGUAUCCCAUACAUUCAUGACUGAUAAAAACCUCAUCACAUCAUUUAGUUUAACCCUACACCUAAGGCUACUACACACUGAUGACAAAUUAUAUUAGCGUAAACCCCAUAAUUAGCUUGGUUCGGAUUCACCAUGAAGUAGACCAGUGGAGAUCCAAAAUAGGUCUGAAUGGGAGCACUGCAGAAACGACCCAUUUUAACUUUGCAGAUUUGGUAUACCUUGUUUUUCUUUUUUUUCUUUUGCAGGAACGGUCCAGCUCAGAAAUUCUCCAGAACCUCGACCUCUGCCCUCAAAGAUGGAACCGAUCCAGCACUCAAUAGAUACGUACCAAUAUUAGAAAUAUGUGCAUUUAUAUUAAAAAAAUAUAUGUGCACUGAACUCCACUCAAACAUAUGUUGGAGCAUAUUUGCUUUGAUCACGGGAACGAGUUUCUGAAACUUUUGAAACUGGAUCACUCCUAUAAAAAUAGAAGUGGCCUGAAUCCACAAAAAGAAAAACAAAACUUGACCAUUUUUGCAAAAUCCCCAGCCUGAAUUACACUUCCUGUAUAUCAUGAAGUGGCCAAGCUGUCGCCUAAAUGCACUGAACAUUGAUUUUUAAUGUUUUGUAGUAGGAAGUGUUUAAAACCCAAAUUCACAGAGAACCUAUACAAAAGGUAGGUCACAUUUAAAAUAGGAAAUUAUAAUUUAAAAAAAAAUGGCAGAAUGGGAAACUAGGAUCGUAAGGCUCCUUUUCUGAUUAUGAUCUUUUCUUAUCCUAUCUCAACCAAUAAACCCAGCACAUAUCGAAUAUGCGUCAGAUCACCGACUCCAAUAAAAACUGCAGCACAUGGUGACUUAUUUGAGUCUAAUUCAAUUGCUUUGAAAUUAACCAUUGCCAAAGAUUUGUCCACAAAUAAGCAUAGGUUAAGAAUGGCAGUUUAGGAUGUCUCUACCUUAAUGCAAUUGCAAGCAGGACCCCUUAGUGCAACAUUCCACGUGUAUCAAGUGACAUCAUCUUAUAUCUGAUUAUGCUUGCCAGUCUAUGCUGUAUGCCCUCCCCACCCACCCAAAAUGGGAAAAGUGGGGAAAAUUCACAGCAUGAUCCUGCACUCCACUCAUUCAAAAAACCAAAAGAACUCAAAGAAUAUAUUACCAUCCAACCUCUUUGGCCCCAUAUACCCCCAAGCCCAGGUGCCCAGCCCCAUAAUCAGUUCUCUGACAAAGUAAAAUUCAAAGCGGAUAAGGGUUAACAUGUGCCUGAGGUAGGAGAUGAGAAAUGUAUUAGAGGGGAAAAAAACCCCUCCUGUGGCAUGAAAUCUCCAACUCACCUUCAUUCCACAAAGUUGAAAGAUGCACAAAGUCCAUAAUCAACAAUUGUGGGGGAACACAUUGUACUAAAAUAUAUGCAAAUGGAUGAUGGAAUGCAAUUUAAACUGGUUAAUCAACAUAACCAGAAAACCAAAUAAGUACUAGCAUGGACACACUAUUUACUGUACCAAUGAGUUUCAUCGAUGCAAUAUGACCACACAGCAAAUGCUACAGGAUCUAAAUGACAUUCAACUAGCACUGAAAAUUAGUCAUUUUAUACAACUUGUAUAAAGUCAUGCACAUGCAAGAGAUAGACAUGAAAUUGAAACAUCACCUACAACAUAUGUCAUUUCAGUUUUCUUUCAUUCUUUUUCCACUUUUAAAAUUAAAAUGUUAAAGAAAUAUAAAUUAGAAAAUUGAAUCAUUCCACACUUACCUCCAAAAUAACAGCUCCGAGAGCAACCCAUUUUGCUAUCUUCCAGUUCUCCUUUAAAAAUUCAUAUAUCAUGUCAAAGUCUCUUGUUUUAUCAGCUGGAAUUACCUGCACAGGAAUUUACUGUCAGUACUACGUAACAAGAAAAGCUACAAAGUAAACAAUAUUGACAUGGAAAUACUCACAUCUUUCCAGCUAUGAUCAAAGAAUAUGAAAGCUGCAGCACCCAGCUCAACUAGGAUCAACAAGAUCACCAAUACAGAAUACUGUUUUGGGUUAAGGAACCACUACAAUCAGUGUGUGCAGCAUACAUUAUAAGCUAAAGCAAAUAUAAGGAAUGCGUAAGCAACGUCAAAUACUCCACCUAGAAAAAUGCGAUGAACCAAAAUUACAUAAAGCAUAGAGCACAAUAGUGGAUGGAGGUGUGAAUGAGCUGGCAUUAAUUCAGAUCAGGAUCACCCAAUCACAAACCUUGUCCUAGCUACAUAAGGUUAGCUUGAUGAACCAAUCUUCACCUUUUUUUAUUGUCAAGGACCAUACCCUAUAGCAUAGUAAACAGCCGUUUCUCCUUUCUUAUUAUUUUGAAUCUGAAUGUUUUAUCCCUUAAUAACCUUUGGCACUGCACCCAUCCAUGCUUUUUUUGAUCUACCUCACCUUUAUAGGUUGGUGGGAGAGAGAAGAGGGAGGGGGGGGGGGGGGGGGGGCUGCAAUAUGGCCAUGACACAAUAUGAAUCUAUAUAAACAAACAAACAAACAAAUGAAAAAAUAAAUAAAUAACACACGACACUACAUCAAAAUCUCUAAGAAUGAUGUUGACUUUUUAACCAGGGAAAAUUUAGAUAAGAGAGGGCCUGCCAUGACUCAUAAUCCUAAAAAGUGGCAGGUAGAGAGAUUUAUAUCAAUCCAAGCUCAUGUAACCUAGAAGAAACUCUCUAAGGUUGUCCUAGACGGACCAGAUAAAGAAGAAAAUAACAAGGUCUGACAUCAGGAACUACAGUUAAAGAAACAAAUAAUAAACCAAAUAUUCAAAUUGAAAAAUGGUGCCAUGCUAUAUGCAUGUUUUUAUGUAUAUAUGUGUAAGCACUUAUCUAUGUAGAUUGAAGACCUACGACGGCUAAAGACACGAGGUGUGCUUGACAUGAACGGACAUGUUGACAAAUCUUAGUGGUUGAUCAAGAAAAGUUAAUAAAACUAUGCUACACCCAGUCUGAAGUAAUAUGAAACUUUCAAUUAGUCCAUUCAAAACUAACUCAUCCAGAUUUAGCCAACCAUAUCCAUCUCCAGGCCUGGCGGUCUAAAGUAAUUUCAACCCAAUAGUCCAUAUCCUCUACUGUACCUGCUCAACAGAUUUGUAGGAUUAGGCUUUCCAGUAUACUACUGAUUACAAAAGAUUGUGAACCAAAGUGCAUUCUGUCCUUUUCAUGUAACUUCCUAAAAUAUCACAAAACAUUAAUGACAUUUUUAACUAUGAGAACAGGUAGACUUAUAAAUUACAGGAAACCAAGAUUUUCUUUAACAAGAAGAAAACCAAAUACAUGAGGUCAUCUUUCUGUUCUACAAAUAACUCGCACUUUGAUCAAGAAGAGUCUUGCAAAUACCCCCCAACCCCACACACACAAAAAAAGAAAGCACUUCAAGCAAGGAAUACCGAACUGUCCAGUUGGGGGCGUACCAAGCCAUACCGGUGGCAGACCGGGACGGUUCCAACAUUCAAAACAA